GCCGGGAGCGCCUGCCCCGGCAUCGGCGGCACGCUGUACCGCGCGCACGGGGCCAGCUGGCUCAGCUGCGCCCCGCAGGUGCCGCGCGGCGGCUGCGCCUUGGCCGCGCCGCCCAGGGUCACCAGCAGCAGGACCAGGAGGGCCGCCUGGCCCGUGGUCGCCGCCAUCGUCGUCGUCGCCGGCGGCUCGGUGCGCGCGCUGCGAGCUUGAGAGACGGAAAUGAGUUCCUGUGUGUGUGGUUGGCGGUGUGGUGGUGGUGCGGGAGCGCGUGGUUUUAUAGGUGGGGCGACGGAGGUGGGAGGCGGCGAGUCUUGCGUUGCUCACCUACGCUACGCAGGCAGCGGGCGGUGCUCGGAUCGGCGCCGGGCGGGAGGAGCGGGCCACGGCAAGCGUGUGAGGCACUGAGGCUGACCCGACCCAACUAAUAAGCCCAGCUCGGAGACCCGCUUCGUCCGUUUGAUCAUCGGGACAAAAAAACUUGGUUCAACGUAGAGACAUGUUUGGACCGGUGUCCUUUCACUAUCCGCGCCGAUCCAAUCUUUGACGAAUACCAGCAAACAUGUCUGUGUGUUACAGCAGGAGAAAAAAAAAUCAUCCCUAAUAGGCACUGGCCGAUACCAGUAAAUCCCUUGAAAUCUCCACACAACAAACAAUAUGAUAAGUGACGUUGCGUUAAACGUAAUGGUGGAUGAUUUUUGAAGUGUAUUCAAGGUGCUUUAAAAAAAAGUUAUGGACAUAAUUAAAUUUUUUGGAAAUUAACAUUAAGCCACUUGUUUACAUAAAGCUCAAAUCAUCAAUUUAGUGUACAACAUCGUAUAUUGGUUGGUUAUAUUGUGCAUGAUGUGAAAUAGGAUGACCGUGUACCUAUUGUAACCUUUAGCAUACAAAGUAGCUAGUAGAAAUCAACAUCCGCUAUGGUGCCAAUACUAUCUUUUACGAGAGUAUUAAACUAUCGUAUCUAUUCAAGUUAAAUGGAAUAAAAAAAAUAUGUAAUAGGCAUUUUCAAAAUACCCAAUAUAGAGAAGGUAUUAAUCAAGGUUGCAACAUAUAUUUUAUUUUAAAAAUGAGUAACAUGUAAGAUAAGAGUAUAUUUGAAAUCUACAUAUUCUUUUGAACAAUUAUCAUAUAUAACAUGUUAGAUUUGGAAUUAGGGUUUGAAAGAUAUGAAUAUCCUAAAAAGCAUUUGAAUUAGAAAAAAUAGCAUUUGAAUUAGAAAAAAUGAAAAAGGGGUAGCUGUUUUGAUGUGUUUAAUUUGGGACCGCACUGUAUAUAAACCGAAGUAAACGCCCCAUGUAGCAAAUUGAACUGUUUUUUUGUUUAUGAACGAUAUGAUGGGUAAUUUGUGUUAACUUUGGGAUAGUUCUAAUGACGAACUUGGCAGAAACAAUAACCUUUUUAUUAGUACGCAUAGAUGGGCUAGAAUGGGUUUCAAACAAACAGAAACGGACACUCCCGUCGUUUGCUGGUGCUCGCUUGUGUCCACCCUGGUCCCAAAGACCAGCGACCGCACCAGCCGGGGCUUUGCCUCCAUAAUGACGUGCACCGGCGCAUGCCACCUCUCUUUUUGAGUCAGUCGUUGUGUUAGGAUCUUGCCGGCGGGCCCGCGGCGCCGAUGAUUGGCCGAUCGUGGCCGCCAGACGCCACGUCGGGGUCCGACCACACAAGGGGGAGGAGCGGGGCACGACGAUUACCUCGCCAUGGAGGAAGGGGCGGGGCACAUAUAAAGGAUGGACGCGUUGAUGCGGAGGGAGAGGGUCAUGAACUUCGAAAACAUUUUUCUGUGCAAAUAAAUAUUGAAAAGGUACACAAUUUAUGAAAUGCAUGAAUAUUUUAUAAAGUGUGAGCACUUUUAGAAAAUUCUGAAUACUUUGAAAACCAAUCAAUUUUGAUAAAACGAUAACACUUUCUGAAACAUAUAUUUUAAAUCUAGAACAACAAAUUUAAAGUGCGAACAUUCUUUGAAAAUUAAAAAAAUGGUAACAAAAUUUGAAACCUGAGCAAACGUGUAAAGAAAUGUUUUUGACAUCUAAAAAAUAUCACAAGUUUAGAGAAAUGUACAUGGCAUUUCAAAAAAAUGUAUGUAUAAUGUAAAUAAUAUCCGUGUAAUUCUAACAAAUGUUUCUUCCAUUCAAAAAGAUGCAACAUUUCAAGAAUGUUCAAGAGUUUCAAAACAUGUGCUUGUAACAUUUUUAGAAAGAAGUGUAUACAAUGUAAAAAAGUUAGCGUGACGUAAAUAAUGUGUCAUACCCUUAGAAAAUUAUACCCGACAUGUGUUUGAAAUUUUAUAAAUGUGUAACAAUGUAAAAAAAUGUUUGUAUAGUUUUACAAGAUGUCUGUAUAGUUUUAUAAAUGUCUAUCGUCGUUAAGAAAUAAAAAAAUAUAUUUGAAAAAUAUUACUGUGUAUUCAUUUCUUUAAACAUGUAUCUAAAAAGAUAUAAAUAAAGUAUCAAAAAAUAUUUGUGCUAAAAAUUUGCAAUGUGUACUGACAAUAAUUAGACAUGUGUAAAAUAUAUAAUUGGUUACCGUACAGAAACAAAACAAAAGCGAAAAAAAAGAAAACACUAUGAAGAAAAUCAAGAAAGAAACAAAAGAAAUCAAAAGUAUAACGAGAAAGUAAAACCAGAUAAUGCCAGUGAAAAAAUAAAGCAUAACGAACAAAAAAUCAAAGAAAAAAAAGAAAACAAGACCAGCACGAGAGACUGUGCCAAUGGGCUGGCGCAGUUCAGCGAAUACCGGCUAAAUUCUAUCAACGUUUAAAAUAGACCGGGAUCAAGGAUUUUGGUUUGCUGAUUCCAGGAAUUAAGAGUUCAGAGUUUGAUUUAGCUUCGGCCUAUAUAUAUGAAAGGUUUGUUUUGGAUUUUUUUCCUUUUUCUUUUUGCUAUACUCGAGCGGUCUGGUGUUGUGGUGCACGUUGGCUUCUCCUGCCCAGGAAUCACCUCGCCAACAAGAUCCAAAAUGUCCUAAUAAAGAAAAUAAAAUAAAAAGAACAUGUUUCUGUCAAAAUAGGUAGCACUGUUGGGUAAAAAGACGCACGCCUUCGUUGCUCUCGUGAGGCAGGCGAUUGGGGUUUUCGUUGCCUCCCGUCGCAUAGCCGUCGAGCUGCCUUGUCUUCUGUGGCCUUAGGAUCAUGUAGACGCGAUCGAUCUCGGUCCUUGCUGGGGGGGGGGAGGUGUUUCAUUUUUAGAGUUUGUUUGAGUUUUGAUAGGGUUUGUGUCUUGCUCAGAAAGAUGAGGCGGUGCGUGUUUCUUGGAGAUGGAAUAAGUUUUUCCUCAUAUAGCCCCAGAUGAAAUAAGUUUUUCCUCAUAUAGCCCCCACCCGUUCUGAUGAUGCUUCUAGCAUCGCCGGAGGGUGUAUGAAGAUUUAUCUCGGACGGAUCUCAGGAGAUUCAGUCGACGUUUGACUUUGAUGGAUCCGAUCGGAUCCAUUUUUCGUUCGUCUAAGUUGAUGUGUCGGCAGGUUGGAUUUUUGGUGCUUAGUGUUGUUUUCAUACGGGGCGCUCACUAGCAAAGCCAUUGGGCCAGCCCAUGUAAAGCGAACAGUGAUUGAGCUGCCCAAUCUGAUUUUGCGAUUUUUGCACUCAUAUUUUCCCCUGAAUCUAUCAAUCAUUUUUUCAAAUACCACUCAAUUUUUUUCAGAAUCCACAAACUAUUUUUGCAAAUUUGUGAACAGUUUUUAAUCCACGAACUUUUUCCACAAAAAUCAUGAACUUUUUUCAAAUUCGCAAACACUCUCAAAUCAGUGAACUUUUCUUCAAAUUCACGAGAUUUUUCCAGAUCCAUGAGUUAUUUUUUCAAAUUCUCUAAGACUUAUAAAAUAAGUGAACUUUUUUAAAGUUCACUAAUACUUAUCCAAUCAGUGAAGUUUUUCUAACUCAUGAGUUUUUUUUCAAACCACAAUCUUUUUAUGAAUUCGCAACAAUAAAUUCAUGAACACUUUCCAAAUCAGGGAUGGUUAUUUUCAAAAUUCACAAACGUUUUAUGAAUUCACAAGUUUUAUUUUUCAAAUCCAUGAGUUUUUUGGAAUUUGCAAACUUUUAAAAAAGGGGAGUUUCAUAAAAUUCCAUGAACUUUUAAAAAUGCACCAGUUUUUUUGAAGUCCAUGAUAUGUUUUCGAAUCGUAAUCUUUUCAAAUCCAUGAUAUUUUUUCGAAUUCUUGAUUUUUAUCAAACCCAUGAAACUUUUCUCAAUGUCCAUGAACUGUUUUCAAAUUUGCGAACAUUAUUCAAACCUACAAUUUUGUACGAGUUUUGUUUCAAAUACGCGGCGCUCACUAUCCAAGCCUGCAAGGGUGUGUCUAUAACGGGUUGGCCGGUGUUCCUGGUUUUAAAUGGUAUUGUGUGGUUUUUCAUUUUUCUGUCUUUUCUGUGUCUUCUCUACUGUUUUAGUAUAUUUUCUUUGAUUUAUGAUUUUACUCUUUCCAUUAUUUUAUUCUCCUUUUUUUCAUAUCUUAAUUCAUGAAUAUUUAUUCAGUUUAUGAAUAUUGUAAAACAUGAUUUCCAUUUAAAAUUCACAAAAAAGUAAUAUUCGUGAAUUUUCUUUAAAUUCAUGAAUAUUUCUAUAGUUCACAAAACAAUUACAGCCUAUUUAUUUUAAAAAAUUUGAACCUCUGUUAGAAUUCACUAACAUUGUUUGAAGUCCAUGAAUAUUUUAUAGAUGUCUGAACAUCUUAGAAUAAUCAUAGUUAUUCUGUUUUGCAAUAUUUUUUGAAAUUUUGUGAACAUAGUUUUAGUUAAUGAAUUCUUUCAAACCAAAAAAAUAUGGUAAUCAUAUUUUCGGAGCUAGGAGUGUAGUGAGCAGGGAAAAAAAAGCUAAGUGGGUGAGUGAAGCACGUGCCAUGUUGAGCGAGCGAGAGCUACAUUGACUGGCCCAUGUGAGUGUUACUCCCUCCGUUCUUAAAUACAAGUUUUUUAAGAGUUUUUAUUAGGGGUUUACAUACGGAGCAAAAUGAGCGAAUCUAUAUUCUAAAGUAUGUUUAUAUACAUCCGUAUAUAGUCCACUGAUUGAACCUCUAAAAAAAUUUAUAUUUAAAAACGGGGGAGUAUAAUAAUAAUUCCAUGAUUUUAAUACGGAAUAAGAGCUUCCAAGGGGCUUACGCAACACAAUCAUCAUCGGCUGACACCAAGGCCCAAACGUGUAAGGACAACAUUAGCACACAUGUAACAACUACGGUUUCCUCACGGAACAGCUAUAUUCUUCAAUAACAGCCCAACACGUUAUAUUAACGAGAAACACCGGAGGUGGUGUAUUGGAACAUAGGUGUAGAUACACCUCUACACCUACCAUGAAAUAUAUAUGUUAAUAAUACAUUUCAAAAUGUUACAAAAUUGCAAACAAAAAUUUCGCAUGUACAUUCGGACAUUCUGUGUUCGCACACUAAAUUCACAAGGAAAGAACUUUUUGUGGCAUGUAUAAAAGAGAUAAAAAUAAUAUCUCGUGAAUAGUUGUAAUCAAGCAUCGAAAAUUGUCUUUUAUACACAAGCCACAAAAAAUGUCCCUUUUUACCGAAACAUUAUGCAUGAACAUAUAAUGUCCGGAUGUACGCAUUAGAUUUUUUUUCUUUAAUUUUUUAACAUUUUAAAAUGUGUAUAUUUAAACAAUGGAUGGAUAUACAUCUAUGAGCCAAAAUGAACUUAUCGUCCACCAUAACAUAGCUAAAUUCAAGUGAGCGUUGAUAAAACCAAAAUGAAAGAACCAAUCGCAAUAAUUUGCUAAAGAAAAAGGAGUUAAUACCAUGAAUGAAGGACACCACAGCGAAGCGCGCGUUAGCUUCUCAUCACACUGAUACAGAUGAAAUAACUUGUAUAAGAAUUUUACAAGUUUAAAUCUUAGCGACUUUGGUGUUGCCUUACUGCUCUAGCAUAUUUUAUUUCCUAGUUAGUGUACUUGAUUCGGCCUUGAUAUAUGUCAAACUACAGGAAACGAGUGCGGUGCUACAGAAGCGAAUUGAGCACGGGUCCAAGUAUGAAAACUUUGGCAAGCUCUCCUUGUUCAGUACUUUCAAAUCGUUAUUUUAUAUUUUAUCUUACUCCCUCCAUAUCAUAAUAUAAAAAAAAAUUGACACUAUGAUGGUGUCAAAAAGAUAUCUCAUAUUUUGAUACAAAGGGAGUAUCAUCAAGAUGCAUAAAAUAUGUUGACAUAAAUCGUGUGGAAUAACGGUUGGCAAAUAGUUGGGUAGAUGGAGCACUUAAUCCAUUGAUAUAAUUAUUUGGCGGGUACGAGGUGCCCGGGAUGGACAUAUUGGAAGGUGUCUUCCACUUACAUAUGAGCAUCAUAUACGAAUAAAUUCACUCUCACUUUGUAUGCGCAUCCAUACAAAAAUCGUAUCAACUACAUGCUUGCCAAAAAUAAUGUCAAGCAAAGGCCUACUACAUAUCUGGCGAUUUUACUAUCCACAUGGGUACUAGGUUGGGUGAUUAAAUUCCAAACCAAUGCCAGAUAAGUGCAUUAGCAGUACGCUAUUAUAUUUAAGUGUUGGUGGAGUGUCGAGUAUCUUUGCUUGACUCAACGACUAGGUAAUACUCCUUCCGUCCCGAAAUAAGUGUUUUAACUUUAUAUUAAUUUUAAUAUAAAAUUAUACUAAACUUAAAACAUUUAUUUUGGAACAGAGGAAGUACCUAACUGAAUGGAAGUAUAAUGUGCUAAAUGGGGAAAGCUUUGAACUCUGUCUGGGUCUCUUAUAUGACGAGAAUAAGGCCCUGUUUGGAACCAUAAUAGAUUAUGAUAAUAUGGAUUAUGAAGAUAGAUUAUAUAAUCUGGUUUAUAAAAAUAAUCUAAGUGGACAUGUUUGGAGGCCAGAUUAUAUAAACUGUAAUAAAGGUUUUACAUUGCAUAAUGACCCGUCUGCCCUCUGGUUUUUUUUAAAAAAAAAGAGAAGGAUGGCGGUGGUAGGAAUGUAAUUAUUUCCAACUUUAUAAGGGUAAUGGGUCAUUAGCAAUCCAUAAUCUGAUUUUAGCUGGUAUAGAGUAGCUUAUGAGUUUUUAAUAAUCUAUCCAUCUAGUUUUUAUAAUCUACACCAUAAGUUGUCCUGUUUGGAAACAUAAUAGAUUAUAAAAACUGAAUUAUAUAAUCUGGGUGGUUCCAAACAGGGCCUAACAAAAACUAGAGUUUAUGUGGGUAAAGUGAUACAGCCUAGGCACUGCCAAAUAAAAUCAUGCCCACUUCUUGGAUUGGAGGCCACGGGAAUCUAUUGGUGGUUCUAUCAUGUGAUAGAGUGACUAGUGAUUUUCUAGAUUGAACUGAACUUUUUUUUUACAACAACUGUUUAUUUUAAAAGGUGUUAAGCUUAGGUAGGACUUUUUAACUUAUACUCCCUCCUUCUAAGAUAAGUGAUUUAAUUUUGUAUUGAUGAUAGUAAAAUUAGUAUAAAAUUAAAUCAUUUAUUUUAAAACAGAGAAAAUAUACACUAUCAUGAGCGUUGUAAAGCUUCCUGUGUAUAUUGUACUCACCCUCAUUAUUAAUUCCCUCUUUCUUAAAGCCAAUCUUGUAUGAGAUUCCUAAUGGACCAAGUGAGAGAAAGAAUGAUGACGGCUAAAACUACACAACAGCCCUAAAUGUCGAUCCAUUGAGUGAUAUGUACGAUCUGAAUGUCAGAUAGGAGGGUUGGGAAUGAAUAUCAUAGAUAUGAAGCUGUGUACUUCAUGAACCAUCUUAUCAUCAUCUAUUUAGCAGUACUAGUUGAAUUCCAGUAUUGUAAUAUAAAAGCAUCUACAAUCGAAUUUCUCAUACCCGUCUCAGACACUCGAGCAGGCUGUCCGAUCAAUGAUCGGUCACAAAAACAUAAUCUAAUCGGAUCCCUCAUGUCCGUCUCAAACGCCGGGACCGACCGACAUCCUUUAUAUCAAUCUCAAAUACGAGGACGAUAUAAGGGAUAGUGGACACCUUCAAUCAGUGCGCCACAUAGGACGCGACCCCAUUCGAACCAUUUUAUUAUUAUUAUUAAUUCUUUUUUCUCUCUUUUCUUCUUCAUUAAUCACGUGCAAAGUGAUUGGACAUAUAAGAAAUAAUAUGAGAAGUACGACUGCACGAACGAAAAUGUAAGGGCUUAAAACGGACACGCCCGGUCAGCGUCCGCGAACGUUUGAGGGGUCAGAUUUGCCAAGUCUGACUGUAGAUGCUCUAAGAGCAUCUCCAAAGCUUACUGUUAGAGCAUAUAUCUUCAUAUGUGAUUUUGGUAAUUGAUGACAAUUCCUAUGGACUAAUGGUUGCCUUAAGUUAUAUUUAUAGGAUUUGUCCAUAGGCACUUCUUGAAGUCCAUCUGUUGGGUUCAAGGAGUUUAUAUGAUGACCAAGGUGGUAUUCAAGGUAUUAUCCAAAGAAUGGUCAUAGAGACACAAGGUUGAUCAAGAUCUCAGACAAAGAGUAAAUCAAGAUGAUCAACACACAAAGCGUACAAGAUGUACCGAGAAGGAUCAAGUGAUCCCAUGGUAUGGUAAGCAUUGUCCAUUACGUGUUUGUGUACUAACCCAUGGUCUUCGUGAGAGUUCUAUAUGGGGGUUAGGUGUGUUUCCAUGGGCUUGCGUCAAAGAGAAGAUCUCAUACAACCCAUGAAGUAUGACGUCAAGUUGUGAUCGACAUCAAGAUUGCGAUGUGCAAGUUCAAGUGGAUCAGCACAAAGAUAUCAUGCUUGAAGCUUGCUGUCCAUUGACAAAGAGUAAAUUAAGAUGAUCGACACACAAAGCGUACAAGAUGUACCGAGAGGGAUCAAGUGAUCCCAUGGUAUGGUAAGCAUUGUCCAUUACGUGUUUGUGUACUAACCGAUGGUCUUCGUGAGAGUUCUAUGUGGGGGUUAGGUGUGUUUCCAUGGGCUUGCGUCAAAGAGAAGAUAUCAUACAACCCAUGAAGUACGACGUCAAGUUGUGAUCGUCAUCAAGAUUGCGAUGUGCAAGUUCAAGUGGAUCAGCACGAAGAUAUCAUACUUGAAGCUUGCUGUCCAUUGUGGUGGUAAUGGACUUGUGAAGAUAUGCUGAAGAGUGGCUCAUCCAUAGUGAGUAUGGGGGAGCAAUCAACUAGUCUUCAUCAAGCCAACGCAAUCAAGAAAGGUGGUCCAUCUUGAGGAAGCCAAGAUCAUCAUCAUCUACCUCAAGAGGACGAGGUGCAAGGUAUAGGUUUGCCCUUGAUAGGUUUUCUGGUUAGGAUAGAUUGCUGUACUAUCAAGGGGGGCUCUCAAGUGAGUAGUUUGAUCGUAUCGUUCGUUGAGAGCUCAAACCAUUUGCAUCCUUGCAUCAUACUUCUUGGUUCUUGUUUGGUGUUUCUCUUUGUGAGUUUUAGAGCUUAUGGUCAUCUUCGUGACAAGCUCGAGUUCAUCGAAAACGGAGUCCAUAUGCAUCUACUAUGAUGUUUUCGAUGUUGGAGUUUUUGUCGGUUCUUCAUUCAUAGAGAUCUCACAUCUCUAUAUCAUUGGCAUUUUCAUAUCUGCAUGGUCUUAAGAUUUCGACAUGGCUGUUUGGAUAGCUCUUGUCGUCCUGAAUCCAACAAGCUUGGGUUUGCUCGAUUCAGAGCUCGUAUGCGAAAGUUAUGGUUGUUUCAGUGUCGAGCGAUAGUACCGCUGGACCUAGCGGUAGUACCGCUAGAGUUGGCGGUAGUACCGCUGGCCCUAGCGGUAGUACCGCCCCUGGUCAGCGGUAGUACCGCUCCAGGAGCUUAGUACCGCCUGCUUAGCGGUUGUUCGUGGACGGACCUUUUUGCGAAGACUUUCUUGGCGGUGGUAGUGCCUUUGCACUACCAGGGCCCAACGGUAGUACCGCUGGAGUGCCAGCGGUAGUACCGCUGGAGCUCGGGCAGAGAGUGGGGGUAACGGUCUGAUUCCUUCCCCCACUAUAUAAAGGGGGUCUUCUUCCCCCUUGGCCUUAUCCAUCCGUUGAGCUCUUGUUCUACCUCCAUUAUUGACAUUCUUAGAGCUUGCUUACUCUCAAUCCCUCCAAUGAUUCUUGCUUGUUCUUGAGGGAAAAGAGAGAGGAGAUCUAGAUCCACAUCUCCACCAAUCACUUUCUCCUCUAUGUGAGGGGAACCCAUUGGAUCUUGAUCUUGGAGUUCUUUGUGAGCUCCUUGUUCUUCCUCUCAUAUUUCUCCAUAGCUUUCGUUGUUGUGGAGGGAUUUGAGUGUGAGGGACUUGACCACAUCGUGUGUUCUUGCCAUUGCAUUAGUUGCAUCGGUUUGAGUUCUCCACGGUGAUACGUGGAAGUGAAGUUUGAGAAGCUUAUUACCUUUGGUACUUAGUACCCUAGAUAUUGUUCUUCGCGGAUGAUUUGGAGUCCUAGAAGCUUGGUGGUGUCUUGGAGCUCAAUCAUUGUGGUGUGAAGCUCCGGGCAAGCGUUGGGGUCUCCAAUUAGGUUGUGGAGAUUGCCCCGAGCAAUUUGUACGGGUACCGGUAACCGCCCCCAAGGGUUGCCACGUGUACGGGUUCGGUGACCGCCCCCAAGGUUUGCCAUUUGUACGGGUUCGGUGACCGCCCUCAAGGGUCCCUUAGUGGAAUCACGGCAUCUUGCAUUGUGCGAGGGCGUGAGAAGAUUACGGUGGCCUUACUAGCAUCUUGGGGAGCAUUGUGCCUCCACACCGCUCUAACGGAGAUUAGCAUCCGCAAGGGUGUGAACUUCGGGAUACAUCAUCGUCUCCCCGUGCCUCGGUUAUCUCUUACCCGAACCCUUUACUUAUGCACUUUACUUUGUGACAGACAUAUUGUUUAUUGUAAUAUAUCUUGCUAUCACUUAGUUGUUUAUCUUGCUUAGCAUAAGUUGUUGGUGCACAUAGGUGAGCCUAGUUGUUUGUAGGUUUUGUGCUUGACAUAUUAAACGUUAGUUUUAUUCCGCAUUUGUUCAAGCCUAAACCUUAAUUAUUUUAAAGCGCCUAUUCACCCCCCCUCUAGGCGACAUCCACGUCCUUUCACUUACCCGUAAACUGGAUGCUGCAUCCGUCCGUGGACAAGGUGACUAGUCCAUGAACACGGAUAUGGGAGGCAGUUAUCCAAAGCUAGUCACUAUAUGCCCGCCAAUAAAGCACAGUUUGAAAUUCAAAUACGUCCGAACAUACCAUGCGUCGAAUCACGCCAACACCGGAUCACAUCAUCGGUCGAUCACAACCAAGACAAGCAUGCUUAGUUUUUACAUGUCGUGGUCGUGAAAGAGUAUUAUACGACAAUUCUUCAAUUAUAGUCUCCAUGCCCAAUCCGCCGUCGCCACUGUGGAGGCCGCCUUUGUCCCAGCAGUGACAUCGACAAUGUAGGGCACUUGCCUGGUCGCGGAUGUCCAGGACAUCCUACCCAUCUUCUUGGCGGCGUAGUAGUCAGUAGCCUUGUAAUGCCCUGGCCAUGGCGGCGUCCACAAGGUCGGCGAGGGCGACAUGGCACAAUCUCAACGUUCACGACCAGCAUGCCCACCGACACGUCUGCCACCACCACACCUCCGUUGGCCUUCUGCUUCUUGAGUGUCUCCCCCUUUGUGGCGUUCGCUUUGACACGAUGAUUUUGCCGUGUCGUCGAAGUUGAUCUUCCGUGCGAGCGUGUAGCUUGGAUCCUCCACCACCAUCAUCUCUGACAGGGUCUCCUCUGGCUCCAUGCACCGACGAUGACAAGGAGGGAAGAAGAGAUUGCGGAAAAAUGGCUCGAACUGGGUGAAGAGCAGCUGGAGGGAAGAAGAGAGCGAAGGAUUCUUCUGCAGAAACAGUGAGGCUAGCUUGAAAAGCGCAGACUCCGUCUGAGUUCGACGUUGGAUGGCUCGCGGGUCCAGACAACUGAGUCGAGAUGGAUACAAGUGGUUUGAGGGUCUUUGUUAGAGAUGUCCUAAAUGACUAUAUAUGUAGUUAUUUUCCUGUUGCAAAUUCGUGACAUGGAUUAUUAUUUGAUAAAAAUGAAUUCUGUUAAGAAAUAAUUCAAGGACUAGUGUAAUUAUCUAAAUUAGUAAUGACACGGGUCGUCACAACACUCCUCGACAAACGGCAAAAUUAACGAAUUUGACUCAUGGACGAAAGUAUUUCACAAACUGGACCACGUUCAAAAAAAUUCAUUCAGGUGAUCCUUCUAUGUGGCGCUCGACAGUGAGAUGCUUUAGGCGUCACACUGUUUUGUGUGGUGCCUAUGACUUAGACGCCACACAACCUAGUGUUAGGCGUCACAAAUUGCAGUGUGUCGUCUAAGCCAAAUAUGUCAAAAAAAAGUCAAACGGGUAAAAUCUUUUCAAACGCGGUUCAAUUUAUAAAAUACUUUCGUUUUUUGUGUCAAAAUUUUCCAUUUUGCCCCCACCAUCACGUCCGUCGGCACCACACCCUUGGCUGGCGUUUUGCUUCUUGAGCGUUUCCGUCUUUGCGGCCUUCGCUUUGAUGCGACAAUCUUUCCGUGUCGGUGAGUUGAUCCUCCGGGCGAGCAAUUAUACAUGUCACGAGUAAACAAUAGCAAUGGCGUGGGACCAGUGUUUUGAGAUCUCAAGGGGAGAUUUGGGAGCUGUGGUGGCUUCCUCCUUUCGGGCAGCCAUGACAUGACCCCCUGCUCAGCACUCUCCAAGUCGACGAUGCGACCUUGGAUCUGCUGCCAUCCUUUGCGAUGUUCGAAGCGGCCCUUUCAGGCAUCGGAUUUCAAAGUCCUAGGAGCGGCAGUCGUAUGCUGCUUCCGUUCCUCGCCAGCAUCCUCAAAGACACGCGCACGUUUUCGCCCUCGUUAACAAGUUGUUGAAGCUGGUUCCGUACGUCGUUGGCAGUGAAAACUCAGCUCCUGGUCCUAAGGUACAGUUCCUAGCCCUACUUGGGAACUGUGCCGUGGAAAUGAAAAAUGCAAGGCGUGGCUGCCUGCAAAACGCCGGGCAGUUCGCCGCCCUAGCAAAAAGGCGACGUACCAUGUUGUCCAAGCAAUCAAAAUCAGGUCACCCUCCCUUUACUGCUGCCGGCGUCAGUGUCAGCUAGCCAGAUAGUGAAUUCAGAACACACAUGGACAGGGAGUACUUGCUUUCAAUCAAAGAAAAGAACAUGGAGAAGUACUACGUACGUGCUCAACUGAUUAAUGUUGAAGUCGAUCGAACUUUCACCGGUAGGAGGAAUAAUGCACCGUGGUAUUACUACUCAGAAUUACACUCACCAGCCAUGCAAUUAAUUAACCUGCAUUUUCCAACAGAUUAGGAUAGUACUAGUAACUUGUAUGAGCCGCCUCAGAAAAAUACUAUGCAAGCACUGCUCAUGCAUGUAUAUUCAGCACACUGGUAUUAUCGCUUGAAACAAAACAAAACAAGACAAAACAAGACAAAAAAUCUCAUUGUCCUCACUCCACGUGCAUCGAGAUCUCUCUUACUUAUGAGCCACACAAUAGAAAUGCAAGAUAUCUUGCCAAAGUACUAGUAAUAGAAAUAUAGCAGAUAAUUACAACAUAUAGGAGUAGUUUGCAUGAUACAGGUUCCACUCGUUCGUGAUCAACUACCAGCAAACAUGGAGGUAGAACCACCGCUAACAAUUUUCCCCGAUCUAGUCGAUCGUGAACGCUCGGUAAUUACUGGAUCCGACGCCAUUGCCUGCAAUGGUGUAUGGCAUGCAUGACCGCCCUUCAGGCUUCAGCAUGCAUGUGUGUCUUGAUCAAGGCAGGUGUGUGCAGUCCUAGCACGCUGGAGGUCUGGAGGUCGAUAAAAUGGGUAAUGGGUAAUGAUCAGUUCUGAGGGCAGAAGGGCGUGCCGGGCUUCUCCCUGUGGCUGGGGAUGACGAAGUGCCGGAUCCUGCCGACCUGCUCGGCGAGGUAGGCUUCGCAGAGGAAGGCCUUGGAGAAGCUGUCCUCCACCGCCCGGUCCACGUCGUGCACGAACACGUCCGUGGCGCCGUCGCCGGGCCGCCGCGCGCGGGCCGCCAUGCCGGCCGUGUAGAUGGCGCCCAUCCUCCCGGGCGCCUCGGGCGUCCACCCCGUGGGCGCGUCCACCAUGAUGAGGUCCCACUCGGUCUCGUGGAACACGGCGGGGAGGCCGCGCAGCGCCAGCCGGCACGAGGCCUCGGCGGCGGCGGCGAGGUCCGGCUGCGCGGUGCACCCCGGGUGGUCGCGCAGGGCGAUGAGGUCGUCGGCCUCGGUGAGGCGGGUGUCGUAGGUCACGUGGUACGACUCGAGGCCCGGGUGCGCGGCGCGGACGGAGGCGAUCCAGGACGCGUCCUCCUCGAGGAACACAGUGCGGCCGCCGUGGUUGAGCGCCGCCCACAUGGGGCUGUCGUGCCCGAGGCCGAACACCAGGAAGUUGCACGGCGAGCGGCGCUGCAGCACGCGCAGCGACACCCCGAUCUCCGCCGCCGUCUGCUGCGGCGUCACGUUCGACGUCGCGUAGUGCACCAGGGCCUCGGCCACGGCCCCCGGCAGCUUCGAGCACGACCCGUCGCCAUCGCUCUCGCCGCCGCGCAGCCGCGAGGCGUGGGAGGAGGAGGAGGAGAAGAGCGUGCGGGCGGAGAAGAGGAGGAGGAAGGCGGCGAGGGCGGCGACGAGGAGGAGGCGGUGGCCGAGGAAGCCGUGCAGCUUGGCCUUCAUGGAGGCGAGGUGGAGGGCCUGCUUGCGGGCGUGCGUGGGGCUCGACAUGGACGCUCGUCGGUUCUUCUUGUCUUGGGUGGCGAGGGGUUUAUAGGCGAAGAGGAUCGAUGCUUGAAGGAAGGGGAGGCGAUGGAGGGAAGGAAGGAAGAAGAGAUUGGUAAUGGAGGAGGAGGGGCGGAUGGGAUUGUGAUGAUGGGGUUGGGUUGGGUUGGGUGACGAGGACACGAGACCUGCAAAGUUUGGUGUAGGGUUGGCUUUCGGAUGGACGGGUGGAUGGAUGCUUUGGGUUGUGGGGCGCCCUUUUCGGUUGAGAGGACGGCAGGCGUUGAUGCAAAGGAAUGGGCCGAAUGUCGACUGUAUUUCCUUUUUCUUUUCUUUUUCUCUUGAUGAUAUACAUAGUGCUGAUUAUUGUGUUUUAAAUACGAAGUAGACGUCGUGAGGGAGAUGUCGGCCACGGUAUUAUCUUCAACAGUUUAGACUGAAUUUUUUUGAAACGUUUAUAUUGAUAUUACUAUCAUAUAUACUCCCUCCGUUCCUAAAUAUAAGACCUUUUAAAAGUUUCAUUAUGAACAACAUACGGAUGUAUAUAGACACAUUUUAGAACAUAGAUUGACUCAUUUUGCUUUGUAUGUAGUCCAUAGUGAAAUGUCUAAAAGGUCUUAUAUUUAAGAAUGAAGGGAGUAAGCAAUAGCAUAUUGUUGUCUUGACAUAUUUGCGAGAAGGCCGAUAGGACGACACAAAAACGAGAAUUUCAUCCAACAACAUAAUUCGUUAUCUGCAGGAAAAAAAUUGACCCGGGUUGACACAUUUAUAGAUGCAAGCGCUCAUAUAAAUGCACAUACAGUUAAUCAAUAAACAUACACACGUACAUCCUAUCUCAUGAAUAUUUUUAAAAGAUUGAGCCAACAUAUCAUCCUGAGAUUUACAUAGUCAUUCUAGACGUCUCGUUAUCGACGAAAACGUUUCACUGAAUACGUAGCCGAAAAUUCUAAAAUAAAUUCAGAAAAGAUGCGAGCAUCUGUACUUGAACCCGACGGACUCAGGGUACCACUAUUCAUCUAGCCAUCCAACAAUGGAUUGGUUCACACUUUUCCUAUUCAAUGUUAUUGUUGCAUCUAUGAGAGUUCAUCGGUGUUUUAUUCAGACGGCUAAUUAUUGUGUUUUAAAUACGAAGUAGACGUCGUGAGGGAUGGAGUAGGCCACAAUAUUAUCAAUAAUAUAUAUUGAUUUCUAUUCUGUGAAAUGUUUAAACUGAUACUACCAUCACAAGCAAUGACUUAUCAUUGUCUCGACGCAUUUGCGAGAAGUCUGAUAGGAUGAUAGAGAAUUUUGUUCAACGACAACCUUUGUUAUCUGCAGGAAAAACUAAUGAUGUAGUUUGACACUUGGUGGGCAUUCCUGUUCAAUGUUGUUGUUAACGGCAUGGAUCCGCAAAAGCUCACUAGUGACUUGCUAGACCGGCCAUUAAAUCCAACGUGGUCAACAAGGUGAUGGUAGAGACACCUGGCUUAAGGGCGGCGCCGGGAUGGAGUGGAUGCGGCCACAGGCAAGGCGGUAAGGAGGAUGUCAUUUUACAUAUUGACACGAUUUUAAUACAUGGUCUUGAGCCCAUCUUGCAUCCUAAGACUUAUAGAAGCAUGACGUGGUAAACUGAUGCUCUUGUACAAAGCAUUGAUUUUUGCAACAACAACAGCAAAACUACAUUUUCAGCAGAAAACAAAAAUUAGGCAAGAAGCAAGUAAAUUUUGAGCCAUUUCCAAUGAUGAUGUUAUGCGGAACACCAUAUUUUUAGAUGAUGUUUCUGAUGAACCUAGUGAAGUUCUCGCACCAGCCUUCACUAUAGGAUUUGCCUCUAUCCACUACGACAAUAGGAUCAGCGAAGCCCCCAUCGAGCAUUGUCCGAUCUCAUUUGAUAUGGCGGUUGACAUCGACAAUGGGUGUUUCGAACCAUAUCACUAAUGAGACACAUGCACGCAGCUUGUGGCGGAAAUUGAAGGAGUUGUUCACACACCUUUGACAAGAUAAACAAAUUGUGAAGACAUAACUACUUCUUCUACAAUUGUUUUGGUGUGAAUUUCAUGUAUUACCCCCUGGUAUUCUAGGUUGGACAAUGGUUAUCCAAAAGUCCAGCCGAUUUUCAUUGCCACGCCUUUUUUUGUAUCUUAUGUGUGUAAGGUUUCUCAUGAGUUGGAGUCAUAAGUCUGGAGAAACACAAUGGUAGAGUCAAAGAACCACUAUGGGAAAAGCUUUCUAUGUCAAGCGUUAGGUACUUUGGCAAGUGAAUUUUAUUGAGCACUCAACAAACAAGGCCUUUGUCGAGUGCCUAAAGAAAACACUUGACAGAAAAAUCAUACUUGACGAACAUCACCAUUGUCGAAUACCAUCCAAAAAAAGAGUUGGUGAAAACGUUGCACUAGGCACAAAUUGAGCCUGGCACUUGGCAAAGACCAAGCACAUGAAAAACACAGUGACACGUGUCCGUGGACACCGUCGUUGAUGGACAAGUGACAAUGUUGCCACUAGAGGUUGCAGUACACAUUUGAGAAUGUCACGCAAAAGUUGUCACACAUACUACUUAUAAACCGAACCAUCUCCAAGGAAGGAACUAUGUUUUGACAAGGAAAGAGAGCAGGUUUGCAUGCAAAGAGAUCGUUGAUUUAUCCAUUGACCUUCAAAAGAUUAUACACUCAAGAUACACCACUACAUGUUCCAUGUCAAAAUUUGGCAUAUUCCUGCUGGAAAAUGUAGUAGAAAAAAAAUCAGGACUAUUUAUAGAAUCAAGAAUCACUAUGAAGAUGCAAAGAGAUUUAGAUUUGAACUUUACCAAUAAAAGUCAGCUGAGAGGAGAUGUUGGUGCAGACUAGACGCAGAUUCCUGACGCUAUGAUUAAACCUCACAACAAUAGUAACAAAGGUGCAGCAAGAUGGCCCAAUCCCUUUUGUAGCAAGGGACAAGCCUGGACAAACUCUUAUAUGAGGUGAAGCGCUCCCGAGGACACAUGGAAUUUCUGUCAAGCUAGUUUUCAUCAUGUUCAUAUGAUUCGCGUUCGCUACUUUGUGUUGGGGAACGUCGCAUGGGAAACAAAAAUUUUCCUACGCGCACGAAGACCUAUCAUGGUGAUGUCCAUCUACGAGAGGGGAUGAGUGAUCUACGUACCCUCGUAGAUCGUACAGCAGAAGCGUUAGAGAACGCGAUUGAUGUAGUGGAACGUCCUCACGUCCCUCGAUCCGCACCGCGAACAAUCCCGCGAUCAGUCCCACGAUCUAGUACCGAACGGACGGCACCUCCGCGUUCAGCACACGUACAGCUCGACGAUGAUCUCGGCCUUCUUGAUCCAGCAAGAGAGACGGAGAGGUAGAAGAGUUCUCCGGCAGCGUGACGGCGCUCCGGAGGUUGGUGAUGAUCUCGUCUCAGCAGGGCUCCGCCCGAGCUCCGCAGAAACGCGAUCUAGAGGAAAAACUAUGGAGGUAUGUGGUCGGGCAGCCGUGAGAAAGUCGUCUCAAAUCUGCCCUAAAAGCUCCAUAUAUAUAGGAGGAGGGAGGGGGACCUUGCCUUGGGGUCCAAGGGAUCCCCAAGGGGUCGGCCGAGCCAGGGGGGAGGACUCUCCCCCCCCAAACCGAGUCCUACUUGGUUUGGUGGGAGGGAGUCCUUCCCCCUUCCCACUUCUUCCUUUUUUUUCUUUCCUUUGAUUUUUCUUCCUUGGCGCAUAGGGGAUUGGUGGUCUGUCCCACCAGCCCACUAAGGGCUGGUGUGACCCCCCAAAUACCUAUGGGCUUCCCCGGAGUGGGUUGCCCCCCUCCGGUGAACUCCCGGAACCCAUUCGUCAUUCCCGGUACAUUCCCGGUAACUCCGAAAACCUUCCGGUAAUCAAAUGAGGUCAUCCUAUAUAUCAAUCUUCGUUUCCGGACUAUUCCGGAAACCCUCGUGACGUCCGUGAUCUCAUCCGGGACUCCGAAAAACAUUCGGUAACCAACCAUAUAACUCAAAUACGCAUAAAACAACGUCGAACCUUAAGUGUGCAGACCCUGCGGGUUCGAGAACUAUGUAGACAUGACCCGAGAGACUCCUCGGUCAAUAUCCAAUAGCGGGACCUGGAUGCCCAUAUUGGAUCCUACAUAUUCUACGAAGAUCUUAUCGUUUGAACCUCAGUGCCAAGGAUUCGUAUAAUCCCGUAUGUCAUUCCCUUUGUCCUUCGGUAUGUUACUUGCCCGAGAUUCGAUCGUCAGUAUCCGUAUACCUAUUUCAACCUCGUUUACCGGCAAGUCUCUUUACUCGUUCCGUAAUACAAGAUCCCGCAACUUACACUAAGUUACAUUGCUUGCAAGGCUUGUGUGUGAUGUUGUAUUACCGAGUGGGCCCCGAGAUACCUCUCCGUCACACGGAGUGACAAAUCCCAGUCUUGAUCCAUACUAACUCAACUAACACCUUCGGAGAUACCUGUAGAGCAUCUUUAUAGUCACCCAGUUACGUUGCGACAUUUGAUACACACAAAGCAUUCCUCCGGUGUCAGUGAGUUAUAUGAUCUCAUGGUCAUAGGAAUAAAUACUUGACACGCAGAAAACAGUAGCAACAAAAUGACACGAUCAACAUGCUACGUCUAUUAGUUUGGGUCUAGUCCAUCACGUGAUUCUCCCAAUGACGUGAUCCAGUUAUCAAGCAACAACACCUUGUUCAUAAUCAGAAGACACUGACUAUCAUCGAUCAACUGGCUAGCCAACUAGAGGCAUGCCAGGGACGGUGUUUUGUCUAUGUAUCCACACAUGUAAAUGAGUCUUCAUUCAAUACAAUUAUAGCAUGGAUAAUAAACUAUUAUCUUGAUACAGGAAUUAUAAUAAUAACUAUACAUUUAUUAUUGCCUCUAGGGCAUAAUUCCAACACUUUGAUAUUUUGAUAUGUGGGUGGACCGGUGCUUGGGUGCUGCCCUUACUUGGACAAACAUCCCACUUAUGAUUAACCCCUCUCACAAGCAUCCACAACUACGAAAGAAGAAUUAAGACUAAGCCUAACCAUAACAUUAAACUAGUGGAUCCAAAUCAGCCCCUUACGAAGCAACGCAUAAACUAGGGUUUAAGCUUCUGUCACUCUAGCAACCCAUCAUCUACUUAUUACUUCCUAAUGCCUUCCUCUAGGCCCAAAUAAUGGUGAAGUGUCAUGCAGUCGACAUUCACAUAACACCACUAGAGGAAAGACAACAUACAUCGCAUCAAAAUAUCAAACGAAUACCAAAUUCACAUGACUACUUAUAGCAAGACUUAUCCCAUGUCCCGAGGAACAAAAGUGACUACUCACAAAGCAUAAUGAUGUUCAUGACCAGAGAGGUAUUGAAUAGCAUUAAGGAUAUGAACAUAUGAUCUUUCACCGAGUAAUCCAACUAGCAUCAACUACAAAGAGUAAUUAACACUACUAGCAACCUUACAAGUACCAAUCGGAGUCGCGAGACGGAGAUUGGUUACAAGAGAUGAACUAGGGUUUGGAGAUGAGAUGGUGUUGAUGAAGAUGUUGAUGGAGAUGAGUCCCCUCCAAUGAGAGGAGCGUUGGUGAUGACGAUGACGACGAUUUCCCCCUCCGGGAGGGAAGUUUCCCCGACAGGACGGCCCUGCCGGAGCUCUAGAUUGGUUCUGCUCAAGUUCCGCCUCGUGGUGGCGGCGUCUCUUUCAGAAAGCCUCCUCCUGAUUUUUUCUCGGACAAAACCCUACUUAUAGGAAAAGAUGGGAGCCGGAAGGGGUAGCGGGGGGCCCACAAGCCACCCAGGCGCGACCAGGGGGUAGGCCGCGCCUGGCAGGCUUGUGGCCUCCUGGUGGCUCCCCUCUGGUACUUCUUCCGCCCAAUAUUUUUUAUAAAAUCCAAAAUAAUUCCUCGUUGAUUUUUACGGCUUUUGGAGUUGCGCGGAAUAGGUAUCUCAAACUUGCACUUUUUCAGACCAGAAUUCUAGCUGCCGGCAUUCUCCCUCUUCAUGUAAACCUUAUAAAUUAAGAGAGAAAAGGCAUAAGUAUUGCACCGUAAUGUGUAAUAACAGCCCAUAAAAGCGAUAAAUGUCAACAUAAAAGCAUGAUGCAAAAUGGACGUAUCAACUCCCCUAGGCUUAGACCUCGCUUGUCCUCAAGUGGAAGACGAGAUCAAUAAAUAUGCCCACAUGUUUAGAGAUAGAGGUGUUGAUAAAACAACAUACGGACAUGCAGGCAUCAUGAUCAUAUUUAGAACAACAAUAUCGUCAUAUAAUCUCUUAUGCUAAAGUGAUAAUUCCUUCACAAAGUAAAGUAUGGAUCAAGAACCUUAUUGAGAAUUAACAACCAAUAGCUUUUAGUCAUUGAAGCAAUUGCAAUUUAUCAUAACAUCGAAAAGAGUCAAAUAAGAGCCUGUAAAGCAAAUCCACAUACUCAAUCAUCCUUUCGUCUUCUAUAAUUGCUAAAACUCACGUGGUACUCAUGAGAUCAAAGUUUCAGUUGGACACAGAGAAAGAUAGGGGCUUAUAGUUUCGCCUCCCAACUAUUUACCUCAAGGGUAAUGUCAACAAUAAUAAUUCGUGAAUACUAAUUUCCAAGUUGACAUAUGAAUAUAGAUCUUUCCCUAGCACAUGACAUUAGCCAAGAUAAUGGCGAAAUAAGGAAUUGAUGUUGAUCACCACGACUCUUUUAAGGAAAAAAGUUAAGAUACAAGAUAGGCCCUUCGCAGAGGGAAGCAGAGGUUGUCAUGCUUUUGAGGUUUGGAUGUGUGACCUCUUAGUGUGAAGGAACGCCACUUUAUAUUGCCUCCUGUGAUAAAGAACUUUAUUAUGCAGUCUGUCGCUUUUAUGUCUUCCUUAUCAGAGGUCCAUACAAAGCUUAUUUUCCACACACUAAUAGAUCAUACAUAUUUAGGGAGCAACUUUUAUUGCUUGCACCAAUGACAACUUACUUGAGGGAUCUUAUUCAAUCCAUAGGUAGGUAUGGUGGACUCUCAUGGCAAAACUGGGUUGAAGGUUUAUGGAUGCACAAGUAGUAUCUCUACCUAGUGCGGAAGUUUUGGCUGAUAUGAGGUGGAAGCAAUCGUCAUGUGCUAAGGGAUCUCUAGUCAUAUAACAUUGUUCGGAACCAAGCAAACAUAAUUCAUUAUGUUGUCUUCCUUGUUCAACAUCUACUUCUAAGCAUGUAAUAGUUUAAUGAGUGUUCACAAUCAUAGAUAGUGCCCAAGAUGAUAUAUUUAUAUGUGAACCUCUCCUUCUUUAUUACUUCCUAUUAAUUGCAACAAUGACCAAGGUUUACGUUUGUCCACCCACAACAAGUUCCAAUCAACAUUCUUUUUAUAUGUGAAGCCAUCGCUUCCCAUAAGAUCAUUACAUGAUAUUUCAUGCUUUUGUUCUUUUAUUAUUAUUUUCUUUAGAUCAUGGCAUGAAGCAAGGCCCUUAACUAAAACACUCUUUAUUAUAUGACUCACGAACUCAAAUACAUUGGGGGUGACACAAAGCAAAACUCAAGCCUAGAUCACUAAGAACUUUAUUCUACUAGAGAAAGAUAAAACCGAAAAGGAUCGAACUAAGAAAAAGGUAAAGGCAAAAGAUGUGAUGGUGAUACGAUACCGGGGCAACUUGCCCAAGCUUGGCACAAGCCAAGAGGAGUGCCCAUACCCGUGCUUAUUUGUCUUCCUUCAAAGGUGAUGGUGGUGGAGUUGUUGCAAUCUGGGGUUGAUUCUCCGUCUUCCAAGGCAUAGGUGCUCCAUCAUGGAAAGAUGAUCGAGUCUCCGGAAUCCUCAAAUCUGCAGCCAACCGUAUUGAUUUAAAUCUAUACUCAUACUCAUAGUUUUGGUUCUGUAGGUCGUAGAUCUGGGCUUGGAGGUGAUCAAUUCUGUCAUAAAGCCUAGAGAGGUGCUUCACAAUAUCAUUGACAUCAAUCUUGUGCUUGUUGGUGAACUCUGUCGUCAUCAUGUGGUUGGCGUUAAGUCCGCGUUCCACCAUCCCUUGGCACUUGAAGACUUGCUGCUCCAUUGCUUCAAGCCUCGCCUCCAUGCUUCGGGUAUUCUUGGGCCCCUCAACAUCACGGAUGUGCAACACCCCCUCAUGCAUCUCGAUAGAUUGAGGGUGUUGUAGCACUCCUGCGAGGUAGGGAUUGAUGACCUUCUCGAAGAACUUGUCCUUCGGAACUUUUGGGGACGCCAUAGAGAUCUAGAUCUGUGUGCACAGAAGCUCGAAACGAAAACAGAGGAUAUUUGCGUGAUACGAGGGUAACACCUUUCGGGAGAAUAUAUAAUGAAUUUUCCCGACAAAAAGGAGUAUUCCACAAGAAAACGGAGUCCGGGAGGCACACGAGGUGCCCACAAGCCACCCAGGCGCGGCCAGGGGGUAGGCCGUGCCUGGCAGGCUUGUCGCCUCCUCGUGCGGUUUUCGGACUACUUUAAAUUUUUCUAUUUUUCUAAAAAUUCCAAAACGGAGAAAAAUUGCUACUGGAAAAGUUUUGGAGUCGGUUUACUUACCGAAUCACAUACCUCUUCGUUUUUAGAGUCUGAAACAGGCUGAUAAAUAUCCCUUAUGUACUCCUCCGGAGUUAUGGUAUUGAUAAUAUUGCUUUCAACAUUUAUGAGAGUACCUGAGAUAUAAUGCUUGAUUCUUUGCCCAUUUACAACUCUCGGAAAAUUACCUUCCGUGUUGUUGAUCUUUAUGGCACCGGAACGAUAUAAUUUCUCAACAAUGUAAGGACCUUCUCAUUUAGAGAGAAGCUUGCGUGCAAAAAAUCUUAAACGAGAAUUGUAUAGCAAGACAUAAUCACCUACAUUGAACUCACGUUUUUGUAUCCUUUUAUCAUGCCACCUCUUAAUUUUUCUUUAAACAACUUGGCAUUUUCAUAUGCGUGAGUUCUCCAUUCAUCAAGUGAGCUAAUAUCAAAUAACCUCUUCUCACCAGCAAGUUUGAAAUCAAAGUUGAGCUCUUUGAUUGCCCAAUAAGCCUUAUGCUCUAGCUCAAGAGGUAAAUGCCAUGCUUUACUAUAAACCAUUUUGUACGGAGACAUGCCCAUGGGAUUCUUAUAAGCAGUUCUAUAAGCCCACAGUGCAUCAUCAAGCUUCUUAGACCAAUUCUUUCUAGACCUAUUAACAGUCUUUUGCAGAAUUAAUUUAAUUUCUCUAUUACUUAGCUCUACUUGACCACUGGACUGAGGAUGAUAGGGAUAUGCAAUUCUAUGGUUGACGUCAUACUUAGCAAGCGUUUUACGAAAAACACCAUGAAUAAAAUGUGAACCACCAUCAGUCAUCACAUAUCUAGGGACUCCAAAUCUAGGGAAAAUAACUUCUUCAAGCAUCCUAAUAGAGGUGUUGUGAUCAACACUACUAGUUGGGAUAGCUUCUACCCACUUAGUAACGUAAUCAACAGCAACUAGAAUAUGAGUAUACCUGUUAGACUUUGGAAAAGGUCCCAUAUAAUCAAAACCCCAAACAUCAAAUGGUUCAAUAACAAGUGAAUAAUUCAUAGGCAUUUCCUGACGUUUACUGAUAUUACCUAUUCUUUGACAUUCACGACAAGACAAGACAAACUUACGAGCAUCCUUGAAGAGAGUAGGCCAAUAGAAACCGGAUUGCAAUACCUUGUGUGCAGUUCUAUCUCCCACAUGGUGUCCUCCGUAAGCCUCGGAGUGACACUUCUGUAGGAUCUGUCCCUGUUCAUGCUCAGGUACACAACGUCUAAUAACACCAUCUACUCCUUCUUUAUAAAGGUGAGGAUCAUCCCAAAAUUAAUGUCUCAAGUCAAAGAAGAAUUUCUUCUUUUGUUGGUAUGUGAAACUAGGUGGUAUAUAUUUGGCAACAAUAUAAUUUUCAUAACCAGCAUACCAAGGUGUACUACGUGAAGCAUUGAUGACAUUCAGUUGUUCAUCUGGAAAGCUAUCACCAAUAGGUUGUGGGUCAUCAAGAACAUUCUCCAACCUAGACAAGUUAUCUUCUACGGGGUUCUCAACACCCUUCCUAUCAACAACAUGCAAAUCAAAUUCUUGUAGCAAGAGAACCCAUCUGAUAAGUCUAGGUUUAGCAUCUUUCUUUUCCAUGAGAUACUUAAUAGCAGCAUGAUCAGUGUGAAUAGUAACUUUGGAAUCAACAAUGUAAGAUCUGAACUUUUCACAUGCAAACACGACUGCUAAAAAUUCCUUUUCAGUAGUAGCAUAGUUUCUUUGGGCACUGUCUAGAGUUUUACUAGCAUAAUAAAUAACAUUCAAUUUCUUAUAAAUUCUUUAUCCUAGAACAACACCAACAACAUAAUCACUAGCAUCACACAUAAUUUGAAAAGGUAGGUUCCAAUCAGGUGGUUGAACAAUAGGUGCAGUUAUCAAGGCCUUCUUAAGUAUUUCAAAUGCUUCCUCACAAUCAUCGUCAAAAACAAAAGGAAUAUCUUUUUGCAAGAAAUUGGUAAGAGGCCUAGAAAUCUUAGAGAAGUCCUUAAUGAACCUUCUAUAGAAACCAGCAUGACCAAGGAAACUUCUUAUACCUUUAAUGUCUGUAGGGCAUGGCAUUUUCUUGAUCGCAUCAACUUUAGCCUUAUCAACUGAUACGUCUCCAACGUAUCUAUAAUUUUUGAUGGUUUCAUGCUAUUAUCUUGUCAAACUUUGGAUGUUUUGCAUGCCUUUUGUAUAUAUUUUUGGGACUAACUUAUUAACUCAGUGUCAAGUGCGAGUUCGUAUUUUUUCCAUGUUUUUGACCCCUUUCAGAGGAGGAUUUUGAACGGAGUCCAAAUGAAACGAAACUGCCAAAAAGAUUUUUUCCGAAACAGAAAAAGAUCGGGAAGCCUGAGAAUCAGGGCACGGGGCCUGCAGGGACCCCACAAGCCCCCUAGCCGCGGCCAGGGGGGCCCGCGCCUCCCUGGCUUGUGGGCUCCCUGGGCCACCUCUGCCCUAGGGCUUUCGCCCAUAAAUUCCCUAAAAUCCCAGAAAAAUCAGGAGAUCAUCGAAAGUACUUUUCCGCCGCCGCAAGCUUCUGUCUCCGCAAGAUCCUAUCUACGGCACAUUCUGGUGCCCUGUUGGAGGGGUGAUUCGGAUACGGAGGGCUUCUUCAUCAACACAAUGACUCCGAUGAUGUGUGAGUAGUUCACCAUAGACCUACGAGUCCAUAGCUAGUAUAUAGAUGGCUUCUUCUUUCUCUUGGAUCUUCAAUACAAAGUUCUCCAUGAUCUUCAUGGAGAUCUAUCCGAUGUAAUCUUCUUUUGCGGUGUGAUUGUCGAGAUCCGAUGAAUUGUGGAUUUAUGAUCAGAUUAUCUAUGAAUCUUAUUUGAGUUUCUUCUGGUCUCUCUUAUGCAUGAUUUCAUAUCCUUGUAAUUCUCUUCGAGUUGUGGGUUUUGUCUAGCCAACUAGAUCUAUGGUUCUUGCAAUGGGAGAAGUGCUUGGUUUUGGGUUCAUACCGUGCGGUGACUGUUGGGGAACGUCGCAUGGGAAACAAAAAAUUUCCUACGCACACGAAGACCUAUCAUGGUGAUGUCCAUCUACGAGAGGGGAUAUUCGAUCUACAUACCCUUGUAGAUCGCACAGCAGAAGCGUUAGUGAACACGGUUGAUGUAGUGGAACGUCCUCACAUCCCUCGAUCCGCCCCGCGAACCGUCCCGCGAUCAGUCCCACAAUCUAGUGCCAAACGGACGGCACCUCCGCGUUCAGCACACGUACAGCUCGACGAUGAUCUCGGCCUUCUUGAUCCAGCAAGAGAGACGGAGAGGUAGAUGAGUUCUCCGGCAGCGUGACGGCGCUCCGGAGGUUGGUGGUGAUCUUAUCUCAGCAGGGCUCCGCCCGAGCUCCGCAGAAACGCGAGCUAGAGGUAAAACCGUGGAGAUAUGUGGUCGGGCUGCCGUGGCAAAGUUGUCUCAAAUCAGCCCUAAAACCUCCGUAUAUACAGGGGGAAGAGGGGGAGACUUGCCUUGGGGUCCAAGGACCCCCAGGGGGUUCGGCCGAGCCAAAGGGGGUAACCCUCCCCUUCCAAACCGAGUCCAACUAGGUUUGGAAGGAGGAGUCCUUCCCCCUUUUCCCACCUCCUCUUUUUUUUUCUCUUUGAUUUUCUUCCUAUGGCGCAUAGGGCCUUCUUGGGCUGUCCCACCAGCCCACUAAGGGCUGGUGCGCCACCCCCAAGGCCUAUGGGCUUCCCCGGGGUGGGUUGCCCCCCCCCCCCGGUGAACACCCGGAACCCAUUCGUCAUUCUCGGUACAUUCCCGGUAACUGCGAAAUCCUUCUGGUAAUCAAAUGAGGUCAUCCUAUAUAUCAAUCUUCGUUUCCGGACCAUUCCGUAAACCCUCGUGACGUCCGUGAUCUCAUCCGGGACUCCGAAGAACAUUCGGUAACCAACCAUAUAACUCAAAUACGCAUAAAACAACGUCGAACCUUAAGUGUGCAGACCCCGCGGGUUCGAGAACUAUGUAGACAUGACCCGAGAGACUCCUCGGUCAAUAUCCAAUAGCGGGACCUGGAUGCCCAUAUUGGAUCCUACAUAUUCUACGAAGAUCUUAUCAUUUGAACCUCAGUGCCAAGGAUUCAUAUAAUCCCGUAUGUCAUUCCCUUUGUCCUUCGGUAUGUUACUUGCCCGAGAUUCGAUCGUCAGUAUCCGCAUACCUAUUUCAAUCUCGUUUACCGGCAAGUCUCUUUACUCGUUCCGUAAUACAAGAUCCCGCAACUUACACUAAGUCACAUUGCUUGCAAGGCUUGUGUGUGAUGUUGUAUUAUCGAGUGGGCCCCGAGAUACCUCUUCGUCACAUGGAGUGACAAAUCCCAGUCUUGAUCCAUACUAACUCAACGAACACCUUCGGAGAUACCUGUAGAGCAUCUUUAUAGUCACCCAGUUAUGUUGCGACGUUUGAUACACACAAAGCACUCCUCCGGUGUGAGUGAGUUAUAUGAUCUCAUGGUCAUAGGAACAAAUACUUGACACGUAGAUAACAGUAGCAACUAAAUGACACGAUCAACAUGGUACGUCUAUUAGUUUGGGUCUAGUCCAUCACAUGAUUCUCCUAAUGAUGUGAUCCCGUUAUCAAGUGACAACACUUGCCUAUGGUCAGGAAACCUUGACCAUCUUUGAUCAAUGAGCUAGUCAACUAGAGGCUUUACUAGGGACAGUGUUUUGUCUAUGUAUCCACACAUGCACUGUGUUUCCAAUCAAUACAAUUAUAGCAUAGAUAAUAAACGAUUAUCAUGAACUAAGAAAUAUAAUAAUAACUAAUUUAUUAUUGCCUCUAGGGCAUAUUUCCAACAGUCUCCCACUUGCACUAGAGUCAAUAAUCUAGUUCACAUCACCAUGUGAUUCCAACGAAUCCAACACCCAUAUAGUUAUGGGGUCUGAUCACGUCUUGCUCGUGAGAGAGGUUUCAGUCAACGGUUCUGAAACUUUCAGAUCCGUGUGUUCUUUACAAAUCUUUAUGUCAUCUUAUAGAUGCUGCUACUAUGUGCUAUUCGGAAAUGCUCCAAAUAUCUACUCUACUAUACGAAUCCGUUUCACUACUCAUAGUUAUUCGGAUUAGUGUCAAAGCUUGCAUCGACGUAACCCUUUACGACGAACUCUUUAACCACCUCCAUAAUCGAGAAAAAUUCCUUAGUCUAUUCAGUUACUAAGGAUAACUUUGACCGCUGAUCAGUGAUUCAAUCCUGGAUCACUAUGUGUACCUCUUAACAGACUUGCUGCAAGGCACACAGUCAGGUGCGGUACUCAGCAUGGCAUACUUUAGAGUCUACGGCUAAGGCAUAGAAGGCGACCUUCGUCUAUUCUCUUUAUUCUGCCGAGGUCGGGUUUUGAGUCUUACUCAAAUUUACGCCUUACAACGCAACCAAGAACUCCUUCUUUGUUGAUCUAUUUUGAACUCCUUCAAAAACUUGUCAAGGCAUGCACCUUGUUGAAACUUCUAUUAAGCGCUUUCGAUCUAUCUCCAUAGAUCUUUGAUGCUCAACGUUCAAGUAGCUCAACCCAGAUAUUCCUUUGAAAAACUCCUUUCAAACAACCUUUUAUGCUUCACAGAAAUUCUACAUUACUUCUGAUCCAUAAUAUGUCAACCACAUAUGCUUAUCAGAAAUUCUAUAGUGCUCCCACUCACUUCUUUGGAAAUACAAGUUUCUCAUAAACCUUGUACAAACCCAAAAUCUUUGAUCAUCUCAUCAAAGUGUAUAUUCCAACUCCGAGAUGCUUGCACCAGUCCAUUGAAGGAUCACUGGAGCUUGCAUACUAGCUAGUAUCUUUAGGAUCGACAAAACCUCCUGGUUGUAUCACAUACAAUGUUUGCUCAAGGAAACCGUCGAGGAAACAAUGUUUUGACAUCCUACGUGCAAUAUUUCAUAAAUAAUGCAGCAACUACUAACAUAAUUCUAAUAGACUUUUAGCAUCACUACGAGUGACAAAGUCUCAUCAUAGUCAACUGUUUGAACUUGUCGGAAACAUCUUUGCGACAAGUCGAGCUUUUCUUAAUAGUGACUUAUCACCAUCAUCGUCUGUCUUCCUUUUAAAGAUCCAUCUUUACUCAAUAGUCCUAUGACCAUCAAGUAGUUCUUCCAAAGUCAACACUUUGUUUUCAUACAUGGAUCCUCUCUCGGAUUUCAUGGCUUCCAGCCAUUUGUCGGAAUCCGGGCCCACCAUUGCUUUCUCCAUAACUUGUAGGUUCAUUGUUGCUCAACAACAUGACCUCCAAGACAGGGUUACCGUACCACUCUGCAGUAGUACGCGACCUUGUCAACCUACGAGGCUUGUAGUAACUUGAUCCGAUGCUCGAUGAUCACCAUCAUCAGCUUUCACUUCAAUUGGUGUAGGCGCCACGGGAACAACUUCCUGCGCCCUGCUACACACUGGUCGAAGUGAUAGUUCAAUAACCUCAUCAAGUUCUACCACCCUCCCACUCAAUUCUUUCGAGAGAAACCUUUCCUCGAGAAAGGAUCCGUUUCUAGAAACAAACACUUUGCUUUCGGAUCUGAGAUAGGAGAUGUACCCAACUGUUUUGGAUAUCCUAUGAAGAUGCAUUUAUCCGCUUUUGGGUUCGAGCUUAUCAGACUGAAACUUUUUCACAUAAGUGUCGAAGCCCCAAACUUUCAAGAAACGACAGUUUAGAUUUCUCUAAACCUCAGUCUAUACUAUGUCAUCUCAACGGAAAUAUGCGGUGCCCUAUUUAAAGUGAAUGCAGUUGUCUCUAAUGCAUAACCCAUAAACGAUAGUGGUAAUUCGAUAAGAGACAUCACAACAUGCACCAUACCAAAUAGUGCGUGGCUAUGACGUUCAGACACAUCAUCACACUAUGAUGUUCCAGGUGGCAUGAACUGCGAAACAAUUUCCACAUUGUCUUAACUGCGUACCAAAACUCGUAACUCAGAUAUUCAUUUCUAUGAUCAUAUCGUAGACAGUUUAUCCUCUUGUUACGACGAACUUCACUCCGAAACAGAAUUGAACUUUUCAAUAUUUCAGACUUGUGAUUCAUUAAGUAAAUACUCUUGUAUCUGCUCAAAUCGUCAUUGAAGUAAGAACAUAAUGAUAUCCACUGCGCGCCUCAGCACCCAUUGGACUGCAUACAUCAAAAUGUAUCACUUCCAACAAGUUACUAUCUUGUUUCAUCUCAAUGAAAACAAGGCCUUGCUCAUGUGGUAUGAUUUGCAUGUCACUAGUGAUUCAAAAUCAAGUGAGUAUAAAGAUCCAUCAGCAUGGAGCCUCUUCAUGCAAUUUAUACCAACAUGACUCAAGCGGCAGUGCCACAAGUAAGUAGUACUAUCAUCAUUACCUCGUAUCUUUUGGCACCAAUAUCAUGAACAUGUGUAACACUACGAUCGAGAUUCAAUAAACCAUUGAAGGUGAUUAUUCAAGCAAAUAGAGUAACCAUUAUUCUCUUUAAAUGAAUAACCGUAUUGCAAUAAACACGAUCCAAUAAUGUUCAUGCUUAACGCAAGCACCAAAUAACAAUUAUUUCGGUUUAACACCAAUUCCGAUGGUAGAGGGAGCGUGCGACGUUUUGAUCAUAUCAAUCUUGGAAACACUUCCAACACGCAUCGUCACCUCGCCUUUAGCUAGUCUCCGUUUAUGCCGUAGCUAUCAUUUCGUGUUACUAAUAACUUAGCAACCGAACCGGUAUCCAAUACCCUCAUGCUACUAGGAGUACUUGUAAAGUACACAUCAACAUCAUGUAUAUCAAAUAUACUUCUUUUGACUUUUGCCAGCCUUCUUAUCUACCAAGUAUCUAGAGUUGCUCCCCCUCAGUGACUAUUCCCCUCAUUACAGAAGCACUUAGUCUCGGGUUUGGGUUUAAUUUUGGGUCUCUUCAUUAGUGCAGCAACUGUUUUGCCGUUUCACGAAGUAUCCCUUCUAGCCGUUGCCUUUCUUGAAACUUAGUGGUUUUACUAACCAUCAACUAUUGAUGCUCCUUCUUGAUUUCUACUUUCGCAGUGUCAAACAUCGUGAAUCGCUCAAGGAUCAUUGUAUCUAUCCUUGAUAUGUUAUAGUUCAUCACGAAGCUCUCACAGCUUGGUGGCAGUGACUUUGGAGAACCAUCACUAUCUCAUCUGGAAGAUUAACUCCCACUUGAUUCAAGCGAUUGUCGUACUCAGACAAUCUGAGCACACGCUCAACGAUUGAGCUUUUCUCCUUUACUUUGUGGACAAAGAAUCUUGUUGGAGGUCUCGUACCUCUUAACAAGGGCACAAGCAUAAAAUCACAAUUUCAUCUCUUUAGAACAUCACUUAUGUUCCGUGACGUUUUAAAACGUUUUCGGCCCCUUGCUUCUAAGCCAUUAAGUAUUUUGCACUGAACUAUCGUGUAGUCAUCAGAAACGUGUAUGUCGGAUGUUCACAGCAUCCACAGACGACGCUCGAGGUGCAGCACACCGAGUGGUGCAUUAGGGACAUAAGCCUUCUGCGCAACAACGAGGACAAUCCUCGGUUUUACAGACUUAGUCUGCAAAGUUUUCUACUAUCAACUUUCAACUAAAUUUUCUCUAGGAACAUAUAAAAACAGUAGAGCUAUAGCGCAAGCUACAUCGUAAUUCGCAAAGACCAUUAGACUAUGUUCAUGACAAUUAGUUCAAUUAAUCAUAUUACUUAAGAACUCCCACUCAAAAAGUACAUCUCUCUAGUCAUUUGAGUGGUACAUGAUCCAAAUCCACUAUCUCAAGUCCGAUCAUCACGUGAGUCGAGAAUAGUUUCAGUGAUAAGCAUCUCUAUGCUAAUCAUAUCAACUAUACGAUUCAUGCUCGACCUUUCGGUCUCAUGUGUUCCGAGGCCAUGUCUGCACAUGCUAGGCUUGUCAAGCUUAACCCGAGUGUUCCGCGUGUGCAACUGUUUUGCACCCGUUGUAUGUGAACGUUGAGUCUAUCACACCCGAUCAUCACGUGGUGUCUCGAAACGAAGAACUGUCGCAACGGUGCACAGUCGGGGAGAACACAAUUUCGUCUUGAAAUUUUAGUGAGAGAUCACCUCAUAAUGCUACCGUCGUUCUAAGCAAGAUAAGGUGCAUAAAGGAUUAACAUCACAUGCAAUUCAUAAGUGACAUGAUAUGGCCAUCAUCAUGUGCUUCUUGAUCUCCAUCACCAAAGCACCGGCACGAUCUUACUGUCACCGGCGUCACACCAUGAUCUCCAUCAUCAUGAUCUCCAUCAACGUGUCGCCAUCGGGGUUGUCGUGCUACUCAUGCUAUUACUACUAAAGCUACGUCCUAGCAAUAUAGUAAACGCAUCUGCAAGCACAAACAUUAGUUUAAAGACAACCCUAUGGCUCCUGUCGGUUGUCGUACCAUCGACGUGCAAGUCGAUAUUAACUAUUACAACAUGAUCAUCUCAUACAUCCAAUAUAUCACAUCACAUCGUUGGCCAUAUCACAUCACAAGCAUACUGUGCAAAAACAAGUUAGACGUCCUCUAAUUUUGUUGUUGCAUGUUUUACGUGGUGACCAUGGGUAUCUAGUAGGAUCGCAUCUUACUUACGCAAACACCACAACGGAGAUAUAUGAGUUGCUAUUUAACCUCAUCCAAGGACCUCCUCGGUCAAUUCUGAUUCAACUAAAGUUGGAGAAACUGACACUUGCCAGUCAUCUUUGAGCAACGGGGUUACUCGUAGCGAUGAAACCAGUCUCUCGUAAGCGUACGAGUAAUGUCGGUCCAAGCCGCUUCAAUCCAACAAUACCGCGGAAUCAAGAAAAGACUAAGGAGGGCAGCAAAACGCACAUCACCGCCCACAAAAACUUUUGUGUUCUACUCGAGAAGACCUCUACGCAUGAACCUAGCUCAUGAUGCCACUGUUGGGGAACGUCGCAUGGGAAACAAAAAUUUUCCUACGCACACGAAGACCUAUCAUGGUGAUGUCCAUCUACGAGAGGGGAUAUUCGAUCUACGUACCCUUGUAGAUCACACAGCAGAAGCGUUAGUGAACGCGGUUGAUGUAGUGGAACGUCCUCACGUCCCUCGAUCCGCCCCGCGAACCGUCCCGCGAUCAGUCCCACGAUCUAGUGCCGAACGGACGGCACCUCCGCGUUCAGCACACGUAUAGCUCGACGAUGAUCUCGGCCUUCUUGAUCCAGCAAGAGAGACGGAGAGGUAGAUGAGUUCUCCGGCAGCGUGAUGGCACUCUGGAGGUUGGUGGUGAUCUUAUCUCAGCAGGGCUCCGCCCGAGCUCCAUAGAAACGCGAUCUAGAGGUAAAACCGUGGAGAUAUGUGGUCGGGCUGCCGUGGCAAAGUUGUCUCAAAUCAGCCCUAAAACCUCCGUAUAUAUAGAGGGAAGAGGGGGAGCCUUGCCUUGGGGUCCAAGGACCCCCAAGGGGUUCGGCCGAGCCAAAGGGGGGAACCCUCCCCUUCCAAACCGAGUCCAACUAGGUUUGGAAGGAGGAGUCCUUCCCCCUUUUCCCACCUCCUCUUUUUUUUCUUUUCUCUUUGAUUUUCUUCCUAUGGCGCAUAGGGCCUUCUUGGGCUGUCCCACCAGCCCACUAAGGGCUGGUGCGCCACCCCCAAGGCCUAUGGGCUUCCCCGGGGUGGGUUGCCCCCCCCCUGGUGAACACCCGGAACCCAUUCGUCAUUCCCGGUACAUUCCCGGUAACUCCGAAAUCCUUCCGGUAAUCAAAUGAGGUCAUCCUAUAUAUCAAUCUUCAUUUCCGGACCAUUCCGGAAACCCUCAUGACGUCCGUGAUCUCAUCCGGGACUCCGAACAACAUUCGGUAACCAACCAUAUAACUCAAAUACGCAUAAAACAACGUCGAACCUUAAGUGUGCAGACCCUACGGGUUCGAGAACUAUGUAGACAUGACCCGAGAGACUCCUCGGUCAAUAUCCAAUAGCGGGACCUGGAUGCCUAUAUUGGAUCCUACAUAUUAUACGAAGAUCUUAUCGUUUGAACCUCAGUGCCAAGGAUUCAUAUAAUCCCGUAUGUCAUUCCCUUUGUCCUUCGGUAUGUUAAUUGCCCGAGAUUCGAUCGUCAGUAUCCGCAUACCUAUUUCAAUCUCGUUUACCGGCAAGUCUCUUUACUCGUUCCGUAAUACAAGAUCCCGCAACUUACACUAAUUCACAUUGCUUGCAAGGCUUGUGUGUGAUGUUGUAUUACCGAGUGGGCCCCGAGAUACCUCUCCGUCACACGGAGUGACAAAUCCCAGUCUUGAUCCAUACUAACUCAACGAACACCUUCGGAGAUACCUGUAGAGCAUCUUUAUAGUCACCCAGUUACGUUGCAACGUUUGAUACACACAAAGCACUCCUCCGGUGUUAGUGAGUUAUAUGAUCUCAUGGUCAUAGGAACAAAUACUUGACACGCAGAAAACAGUAGCAACAAAAUGACACGAUCAACAUGCUACGUCUAUUAGUUUGGGUCUAGUCCAUCACAUGAUUCUCCUAAUGAUGUGAUCCCGUUAUCAAGUGACAACACUUGCCUAUGGUCAGGAAACCUUGACCAUCUUUUAUCAACGAUCUAGUCAACUAGAGGCUUUACUAGGGACAGUGUUUUGUCUAUGUAUCCACACAUGCACUGUGUUUCCAAUCAAUACAAUUAUAGCAUGGAUAAUAAACGAUUAUCAUGAACUAAGAAAUAUAAUAAUAACUAAUUUAUUAUUGCCUCUAGGGCAUAUUUCCAACAGUGACCUCACCCAGUGAUAGAAGGGGUAGCGAGGCACGCAUCGUGUUGUUGCCAUCAAGGGUAAAAAGAUGGGGUUUUCAUCAUUGGUUUGAGAUUAUCCCUCUACAUCAUGUCAUCUUGCUUAAAGCGUUACUCUGUUCAUCAUGAACUCAAUACACUAGAUGCAUGCUGGAUAGCGGUCGAUGUGUGGAGUAAUAGUAGUAGAUGCAGAAAGUAUCGGUCUACUUGUGUUGGACGUGAUGCCUAUAUGUAUGAUCAUUGCCUUAGAUAUCGUCAUGACUUUGCGCGGUUCUAUCAAUUGCUCGACAGUAAUUUGUUCACCCACCGUAAUAUUUGCUAUUUUGAGAGAAGCCUCUAGUGAACACUAUGGCCCCCGGGUCUACUCCACACCAUAUUUUUAGCCUUACACUUUUACUUCAUUGCCCGCCUUCAUAUCUCACUUUGCAAUCAAUCUUGAAGGGAUUGACAACCCCUUUUAAUCGUUGGGUGCAAGCUCUUUGUGUUUGUGCAGGUACUCUGGACUUGACGAGAUUCUCCUACUAGAUUGAUACCUUGGUUCUCAAACUGAGGGAAAUACUGAUGACCCACAAGUAUAGGGGAUCAAUCGUUGUCCUUUCGAUAAGUAAGGGUGUCGAACCCAACGAGGAGCAGAAGGAUCUGACAAGUGGUUUUCAGCAAGGAAAAAUCUGCAUGCACUGAAAUUGUCGGUAACAAGUGAUUGUGUGGUGAGAUGAUUCGUAGCAAGCAACAAGUAACAAAAGUAGCAACAGUGCAGCAAAGUGGCCCAAUCCCUUUUGUAGCAAGGGACAAGCCUGGACAAAGUCUUAUAGGAGGAAAAACGCUCCUGAGGACACACGGGAAUUUCUGUCAUGCUAGUUUUCAUCAUGUUCAUAUGAUUCACGUUCGUUACUUUGAUAGUUUGAUAUGUGGGUGGACCGGCGCUUGGAUACUGCCCUUACUUGGACAAGCAUCCCAUGUAUGAUUAACCCCUCUCGCAAGCAUCCGCAACUACGAAAGAAGAAUUAAGACAAAGUCUAACCAUAGCAUUAAACUAGUGGAUCCAAAUCAACCCCUUACGAAGUAACGCAUAAACUAGGGUUUAAGCUUCUGUCACUCUAGCAACCCAUCAUCUACUUACUACUUCCCAAUGCCUUCCUCUAGGACCAAAUAAUGGUGAAAUGUUAUGUAGUCGACGUUCACAUAACACCACUAGAGGAAAAACAACAUACAACAUAUCAAAAUACCGAACGAAUACCAAAUUCACAUGACUAUUAUUAGCAUGACUUAUCCCAUGUCCUCGGGAACAAAAGUAACUACUCACAAAGCAUAAUCAUAAUCAUGAUCAGAGGUGUAAUGAGUAGCAUCAAGGAUCUGAAUAUAAUCUCUUCCACCAAAUAAUCCAACUACCAUCAACUACAAAGAGUAAUCAACACUACUAGAAACCUUACAAGUACCAAUCGGAGUCGCGAGACGGAGAUUGGUUACAAGUGAUGAACUAGGGUUUGGAGAUGAGAUGGUGCUAAUGAAGAUGUUGAUGGAGAUGAGUCCCCUCCGAUGAGAGGAGUGUUGGUGAUGACGAUGGCGACGAUUUCCCCCUCCGAGAGGGAAGUUUCCCCGGCAGGAUCGUCCUGCCGGAGCUCUAGAUUGGUUAUGCUCAAGUUCUGCCUCGUGGCGGCGGCGAAACCAAGAAAAAGCUCCCUUCCCAUUUUUUCCUGGUCGAAACCCUCCAUAUAGCAAAAGAGGGGGGCAAGUGGGCCAGCAGGGUGCCCACAAGCCCCCAUGGCGUGGCCUGGGGGGGGGGUGGUCGCGCCGUGCAGGCUUGUGGCCACCCCCUGGCGCUCCUCUGGCACUUCUUCGUCCUAGUAUUUUUUAUAUAUUGGUAAAAAAUCUCCGUUGAUUUUCACGACGUUUGGAGUUGCGCAGAAUAGGUAUCUCAACUUUGCUCCACUUUCAUGCGAGAAUUCCAAUUGUCGGUAUUCUCCCUCUUCAUGUAAACCUUAUAAAAUAAGAUAGAAAAGGCAUAAGAAUAGUAUCGUGAAGUGAAAUAAUAGCCAAAGAAGCGAUAAAUAUCAAAGUGAAAACAUGAUGCAAAAUGGACGUAUCAACUCCGCCAAGCUUAGACCUCGCUUGUCCUCAAGCGAAAGCCGAGCUCAAUAAAUAUGUCCACAUGUUUAGGGAGAGAGGUGUCGACAAAACAAGAUACGAACAUGCAUGCAUCAUGAUCAUGAUCAGAACAGCAAUACAAACAUAUAAUCUCUCAUGCUAAAGUGAUAAUUCCUUCACAAAGUAAUACAUGGAUCAAGAACCUUACCGAGAAGUAACAACCGAUAGCCUUUAGUCAUUGAAGCAAUUCUAAUUUAUCACAACAUUAGAAAGAGUCAAAUAAGAGCUUGUAAAGAAAAUCCACAUACUCAAUCAUUCUUUCGUUCUCUACAAUUGCUACAACUCACGUGGUACUCAUGAGAUCAAAGUUUCAGCUGAACACAGAGAAAGAUAGGGGCUUAUAUUUGCCUCCCAACUGCUUACCUCAAGGGUAAUGUCAACAAUAAUAAUUCAUGAAUACUUACCUCCAAGUUGACAUAUGAAUAUAGAUCUUUCCCAAGCAUGUGACGGUAGCCAAGACAAAGGCAAAAUAAGCAAUUGGUGAAGAUCACCAUGACUCUUUCAAGGGCAAAAAAGUAAAAGUACAAGAUAGGCCCUUCGCAGAGGGAAGCAGAGGUUGUCAUGCGCUUUUGAGGUUUGGAUGCAUGUCCUCUUAGUGCAGAGGAACGUCACUUUAUAUUGCCCCCUGUGAUAAAGAACUUUAUUAUGCAGUCUGUCACUUUUAUGUCUUCCUCAUCACAGGUUCGUAUAAAGCUUAUUUUCCACACACUAAUAGAUCAUACAUAUUAGAGAGAAAUUUUAUUGCUUGCACCGAUGACAACUUACUUGAGGGAUCUUAUUCAAUCCAUAGGUAGGUAUGGUGGACACUCAUGGCAAAACUGGUUUGAAGGUUUACGGAUGCACAAGUAGUAUCUCUACUUAGUGCGGGAGUUUUGGCUAAUGUGAGGUGGAACCAAUCGUCACAUGCUAAGAGAUCUCUAAUCAUAUAGCAUUGUUCAGAGCCAAGCAAACACAAUCCAUUACGUUGUCUUCCUUGUCCAACAUCUACUUCUACGCAUGUAAUAGUUUAGUGAGUGUUCACAAUCAUAGGUGGUGUGAGAGAUGAUAUAUUUAUAUGUGAACCUCUCCUUCUUUAUCACUUCCUAUUAAUUGCAACAAUGACCAAGGUCUACGUUUGCCUACCCUCAACAAGUUUCAAUCCUCAUUCUUUUUAUAUGUGAAGCCAUCACUUCCCAUAAGAUCAUUACAUGAUCUUUCAUGCUUUUGUUCUAUUCUCACUCUUUGAUCAUGGCAAGAGGCAAAGCCCUUCAACUAAGACACUCUUUAUUAUAAGGCUCACGAGCAAGAAUACAUCGGGGAUGACACAAGGCAAAACUCAAGACUAAAACACUAAUACUUUACUUCACUAGAAAAGAGAAAACUGAAAAGGAAAACUAAAACAAAGGUAAAAGCAAAAGAUGUGAUGGUGAUACGAUACCGGGGCAACUCCCCCAAGCUUGGCAAAAGCCAAGGGGAUUGCCCAUACCAAUGCUAAGUUGUCUUCCUUUGGUGGUGAUGGUGGAGUUGUUGCAACAUGAGUUUGAUCCUCCGUCUUCCAAGGCAUAGGUGCUCCAUCAUGGAAGGAUGAACGAGUCGCCGGAAUCCCCAAAUCUGCAGCCAACCGUAUUGAUUUAAAUCUAUACUCAUACUCACAGUUUUGGUUCUGCAGGUCAUAGAUCUGGCCCUGGAGUUGAUCAACCCUGUCAUAGAGACCGGAGAGGUGCUUCUCAAUGUCAUUGGCAUCCAUCUUGUGCUUGUUGGUGAACUUCGUGAUCAUCAUGUGGUUGGCAUUGAGUCCACGCUCCAUCAUCCCUUGACACUUGAAGACUUAUUGCUCCAUUGCUUCGAGCCUCGUCUCCAUGCUUCCGGUCUUCUUAGGCCCCUCAACAUCACGGAUGUGCAACAUCCCCUCAGGCAUCCCAGUAGAUUGAGGGUGUUGCAGCACUUCCGUGAGGUAGGGAUUGAUGACCUUCUCGAAGAUCUUGUCCUUAGGAGCUUUUGGGGAAGUCAUGGCGAUCUAGAUCUGCAACAGAAACAGGCUCGAAACGAAAAACAGAGGAAAUCUGCGUGAUACGGGAUCAAACCAAACGAAAGUAUAUAUAAUGAUUUUUUUCAGACCAGAAGGAGUCCCCUGCACAAAAACGGAGUCCGGGAGGCGCAUGAGGUGGCCACAAGCCCUCACGGCAUGGCCAGGGGGUGGGACCGCGCCGUGCACGCUUGUCGCCUCAUCAUGCACUAUCCUGACUACUUCCAUUUUUUGUAUUUUUUCAAAUAUUCCAAAACGGAGAAAAUUUCCUAUUGGAAAAGUUUUGGACUCUGAUUUCUUACCAAAACACAUACCUCUUCGUUUUCGGAGUCUGAAACAGGCUGAUAAAUAUCCCUUAGGUAUUCUUCCGGAGUUAUGGUAUUGAUGAUAUUGCUUUCAACAUUUAUGGGAGUACGUGAGAUAUAAUGCUUGAUUCUCUGCCCAUUUACCACUCUCAGACAAUUACCUUCCGUGUUGUUGAUCUUGAUAGCACCGGAACGAUAUACUUCCUCAACAACAUAGGGACCUUCCCAUUUAGAGAGAAGCUUGCCUGCAAAGAAUCUUAAACGAGAGUUAUAUAGCAAGACAUAAUCACCUACAUUGAACUCACGCUUUUGUAUCCUCUUAUCAUGCCACCUCUUAACCUUCUCUUUGAAGAGCUUGGCAUUCUCAUAUGCUUGGGUUCUCCACUCAUCAAGCGAGCUAAUGUCAAAUAACCUCUUCUCACCGGCAAGUUUGAAAUCAAAGUUGAGGUCUUUGAUUGGCCAAUAAGCUUUAUGCUCUAGCUCAAGAGGUAAGUGACAUGCUUUACCGUACACCAUUUUGUACGGAGACGUGCCCAUGGGAUUCUUAUAGGAAGUUCUAUAAGCCCACAGUGCAUCAUCGAGCUUCUUAGACCAAUUCUUUCUAGACCUGUUGACAGUCUUUUGCAGAAUUAGUUUAAUCUCUCUGUUGCUUAGCUCUACUUGACCACUGGACUGAGGGUGGUAGGGAGACGCAAUUCUAUGGUUGACAUCGUACUUAGCAAGCGUUUUACGGAAAGCACCAUGAAUGAAGUGUGAACCACCGUCAGUCAUCAGAUAUCUAGGGACUCCAAAUCUGGGGAAGAUAACUUCUUUCAGCAUCUUGAUAGAGGUGUUGUGAUCAGCACUACUAGUAGGGAUAGCUUCUACCCACUUAGUGACGUAAUCAACAGCAACCAAGAUGUGAGUAUACCCACUGGAUUUUGGAAAAGGUCCCAUAUAAUCAAAGCCCCAAACAUCAAAUGGUUCAAUGACAAGUGAAUAGUUCACAGGCAUUUUCUGACGUUUGCUAAUAUUACCUAUUCUUUGACAUUCGUCACAAGACAAGACAAACUUACGGGUAUCCUUGAAGAGAGUGGGCCAAUAGAAACCUGAUUGCAAUACCUUGUGUGCAGUUCUGUCUCCUGCAUGGUGUCCUCCGUAGGCCUCGGAGUGACACUUCUGUAGGAUCUUCCCUGCUCAUGUUCAGGUACACAACAUCUAAUAACACCAUCUACUCCUUCCUUAUAAAGGUGGGGAUCAUCCAAAAGUAGUGUCUCAAGUCAAAGAAGAACUUUUUCUUUUGCUGGUACGUGAAACUAGGUGGUAUGUAGUUGGCAACGAUAUAGUUUGCAUAAUCAGCAUACCACGAUGCACUACAUGAAGCAUUGAUGACAUUCAAUUGCUCAUCGGGAAAGCUAUCAUCAAUAGGUUGUGGGUCAUCAGGAACAUUCUCCAACCUAGACAAGUUAUCUGCUACUGGGUUAUCAGCACCCUUUCUGUCAACAACGUGCAGAUCAAAUUCUUGUAGCAAGAGAACCCAUCUGAUAAGUCUAGGUUUAGCGUCCUUCUUCUCCAUGAGGUACUUAAUAGCAGCGUGAUCAGUGUGAAUAAUGACUUUGGAAUCAACAAUGUAAGACCUGAACUUUUGAUACGCAAACACGACUUCUAAAAAUUCCUUCUCUGUAGUAGCAUAGUUUCUGUGGACACUGUCUAGAGUUUUACUAGCGUAGUGAAUAACAUUCAACUUCUUAUCAACUCUUUGCCCUAGAACAACACCAACAGCAUAAUCACUAGCGUCACACAUGAUCUCAAAAGGCAAGUUCCAAUCAGGUGGUUGAACAAUAGGUGCAGUUAUCAAAGCCCUCUUAAGUAUUUCGAAGGCUUCCUCACAAUCAUCGUCAAAAACAAAAGGAAUAUCUUUUUGCAAGAUAUUGGUAAGAGGCCUAGAAAUCAUAGAGAAGUCUUUGAUGAACCUUCUAUGGAAACCAGCAUGACCAAGGAAACUUCUUAUCCCUCUGAUAUCUGUGGGGUAUGGCAUUUUCUCGAUUGCAUCAACCUUUGCCUUAUCGACUUCAAUACCUCUUUCGGAAAUUUUAUGUCCUAAGACGAUGCCUUCAUUAACCAUAAAAUGGCACUUCUCCCAAUUCAAGACAAGAUUGGUGUCUUUACAUCUCUGCAAGACCCGAUCAAGGUUGAUGAGGCAAUCAUCAAAGGAAGACCCGUAAACGGAGAAGUCAUCCAUGAAAACCUCAACAAUCUUUUCACAAAAGUCAAAGAAUAUAGCCAUCAUACAUCUUUGAAAGGUGGCAGGUGCAUUACAUAAGCCAAAAGGCAUACGUCUAUAAGCAAAGUUACCGAAAGGGCAGGUGAAAGUGGUUUUCUCCUGAUCAGAUUGUGCAACUGGUAUUUGGGAGAAACCAGAAUAACCAUCUAGAAAGCAGAAGUGUGUGUGUUUGGAUAGUCUUUCUAGCAUUUGGUCGAUAAAAGGCAGCGGGUAAUGAUCUUUCCUAGUGGCCUUAUUCAACUUCCUAAAAUCAAUCACCAUCCUAUAGCCAGUAAUAAUCCUCUGUGGGAUCAACUCAUCCUUAUCACUAGGGACAACGGUAAUGCCUCCUUUCUUAGGAACGGAAUGCACCGGACUCACCCAAUCGCUAUGAGCAACAGGAUAGAUAAUACCCGCUUCUAGGAGCUUUGUAUUUCUUUUCUCACUACUUCUUUCAUCUUAGGAUUCAAUCUCCUUUGAUGAUCAGAAACUGGUUUGAAUUCAGGAUCAGUUUUGAUCUUGUGCUGGCAUAGAGUGGGACUAAUGCCCUUAAGAUCAUCAAGAGUAUAUCCUAUAGCAGCACGGUGCUCCCUCAGAGUUUUUAGUAACUUAUUUUCUUCCUGCUCUGAGAGGCUAGCACUAAUAAUAACAGGAUAUAUCUCCUUUUCAUCAAGAUAGGCAUACUUAAGAGUAUCAGGCAAGUGUUUAAGCUCGAACACAGGAUCACCCUUUGGUGGAGGUGGAUCCCCAAGCAGUUCAACAGGCAGAUUAUUCUUAAGGAUAGGAUAUUGUUCUAAGACAACUCUAUCUAUUUCAUCCCAUUCAUCCAUAUGCAUAUCAUUUUGAUUCUCAAGCAAGUAUUGCUCUAAGGGAUCAGUAGGAGGCAAGGCAAUAGAAGCUAAGGCAAUAGUUUCAUCCCUACUAGGCAACUCCUUUUCAUGAGGUUGUCUACCGAACUUAGAGAAAUUGAACUCAUGUGACACUCCUUCAAAGCCAACAGUGACAGUUUGCUUCUCACAAUCAAUAUGAGCAUUGAAAGUGUUGAGAAAAGGUCUACCAAAUAUGAUGGGACAAAAGCUAUCUUGAGCGGUAGCAAGAACGAGGAAAUCAGGAGGAUACUUCGUUUUACCACACAAGACUUCAACAUCCCUAACAAUUCCCACAGGGCAGAUAGUAUCUCUAUUGGCAAGCAGGAUAGUGACAUCUAUAGGUUCUAUGUCAACAGGUGCAAUCUCAUCUUUGAAUUCAUCGUAUAAGGAUUGAGGUAUUGCACUGACACUAGCACCCAAGUCACAUAAACCAUGAUAACAAUGAUCUCCUAUCUUAACAGAAACUACACGCAUGCCAACAACAUGCCUAUGCUUGUCUCUAACGCGAGGUUUAGCAAUUCUAGCAGCAUCUUCACAAAAGUGAAUAUUAUGUCCCUCAACUUCUUCAGACAGAAGAUCUUUGAUAAUAGCAAUGCUAGGUUCAACUCUAAUUUGCUCAGGGGGUGUAGGUGUUCUAAUGUAGCCUCUACGUAUCAUAGUUGAAGCUUUAGAAUGAUCCUUUAUCCUAACAAGGAAAGGUGGUUUCUCAAUGUAAGCACUGGGAACCACAGGAUCAUUAUAGGCAAUGACUUUCUCUUCAACUGGAGUGGGUUUAACUACAUUGACUUCUAUGGGAGGAUGAUAUUUAAACCACUUCUCUUUGGGGAGAUCAAUAUGAGCAGCAAAAUAUUCACGCAAUGAAGCUACUAUCUUAGAGUCAAGUCCAUACUUAGCGCUAAAGUCACAAAAAGUAUUUGUCUCAACAAAGGAUUUAACGCAAUCAAAAGUGAAAUUCAUACCUGACUCCUUAACUUCUUCAAGCUCCCAAUCUUCAGAGUUGCGUUUAAUUCUGUCCAAUAAAUUCCACUUGAAGUCAAUAUCUCUCUUCAUAAAAGAACCGGUACAAGAAGUGUCAAGCAUGGUGCGAUCAUCAUGAGAAAGCCGAGCAUAGAAGUUCUGAAUGAUAAUUUCUCUCGAGAGCUCAUGAUUGGGGCAUGAAUAUAGAAUUGAUUUAAGCCUCCCCCAAGCUUGAGCGAUGCUUUCUCUGUCACGAGGCCAAAAUUAUAAAUAUAAUUCUGAUCACGAUGUACUAAAUGCAUAGGAUAAAACUUUUGAUGAAAUUCCAAUUUCAACCGAAUGUAGUCCCAUGAUCCAGUAUCAUCACAUAGCCUAUACCAUGUCAACGCCUUAUCCUUCGAAGAUAAAGGAAAUACCUUCUUCUUGACCUCAUCCUCGGGCACACCUGCAAGCUUAAAUAAACCACAAACCUCAUCUACAUAGAUCAGAUGCAAGUCUGGAUGUGAUGCUCCAUCUCGUGUAAAAGGAUUAGCGAGCAGUUUCUCAAGCAUACGUGAAGGAAAUUCAAAGCAAAUAUUUUCAGUAGGUGCAGCAACUUGAGGAGCAACUCUUUGUGCUUCCGUUCGAGGUGAAUAUACCCCGAACAAGCUCCUCAAAGGAUUAGUAUCCAUAGUGACAAGUGACAAGAAAUUUCAGCAUACUAUAUGAAUGUUUCCUUACCAAGUUCCACUUACCAAAGGCGCUUCACCCUCCGGCAACGGCGCCAGAAAAGAGUCUUGAUGAACCAAAAGUAUAGAGGAUCAAUUGUAGUCCUUUCGAUAAGUAAGAGUGUCGAACCCAACCAGGGGCAGAAGGAUCUGACAAGUGGUUUUCAGCAAGGAAAAAUCUGCAAGCACUGAAAUUGUCGGUAACAAGUGAUUGUGUGGUGAGAUGAUUCGUAGGAAGUAACAAGUAACAAAAGUAGCAACGGUGCAGCAAAGUGGCCCAAUCCCUUUUGUAGCAAGGGACAAGCCUGGACAAAGUCUUAUAGGAGGAAAAACGCUCCCGAGGACACAACGGGAAUUUCUGUCAUGCUAGUUUUCAUCAUGUUCAUAUGAUUCGCGUUCGUUACUUUGAUAGUUUGAUAUGUGGGUGGACCGGCGCUUGGGUACGGCCCUUACUUGGACAAGCAUCCCACUUACUAUUAACCCCUCUCGCAACCAUCCGCAACUACGAAAGAAGAAUUAAGACAAAGUCUAACCAUAACGUUAAACUAGUGGAUCCAAAUCAUCCCCUUACGAUGUAACACAUAAACUAGUGUUUAAGCUUCUGUCACUCUAGCAACCCAUCAUCUACUUACUACUUCCCAAUGCCUUCCUCUAGGCCCAAAUAAUGGUGAAGUGUUAUGUAGUCGACAUUCACAUAACACCACUAGAGGAAAAACAACAUACAACAUAUCAAAAUACCGAACGAAUACCAAAUUCACAUGACUAUUAUUAGCUUGACUUAUCCCAUGGCCCCAGGAACAAAAGUAACUAAUCACAAAGCAUAAUCAUAAUCAUGAUCAGAGGUUUAAUGAGUAGCAUCAAGGACCUGAACAUAAUCUCUUCCACCAAAUAAUCCAACUAGCACCAACUACAAAGAUCAAUCAACACUACUAGCAACCUUACAAGUACCAAUCGGAGUCGCAAGACGGAGAUUGGUUACAAGUGAUGAACUAGGGUUUGGAGAUGAGAUGGUGUUGAUGAAGAUGUUGAUGGAUAUGAGUCCCCUCCGAUGAGAGGAGUGUUGGUGAUGACGAUGGCGACGAUUUCCCCCUCCGGGAGGGAAGUUUCCCCGGCAGGAUCAUCCUGCCGGAGCUCUAGAUUGGUUCUACUCAAGUUCCGCCUCGUGGCAGCGGCGAAACCAUGAAAAAGCUCGCUUCUCAUUUUUUCCUGGACGAAACCCUCCAUAUAGCAAAAGAGGGGGGAAAGUGGGCCAGCAGGGUGCCCACAAGCCCCCAUGGCGCGACCUGGGGGGGUGGUCGCGCCGUGCAGGCUUGUGGCCACCCCCUGGCGCUCCUAUGGCACUUCCUCGGCCCAAUAUUUUUUAUAUAUUGGGAAAAAAAUCUCCUUUGAUUUUCAGGACGUUUGGAGUUGCGCAGAAUAGGUAUCUCAACUUUGCUCCACUUUCAGGCCAGAAUUCCAGUUGCCGGUAUUCUCCCUCUUCAUGUAAACCUUGCAAAAUAAGAGAGAAAAGACAUAAGAAUAGUACCGUGAAGUGAAAUAACAGCCAAAGAAGCGAUAAAUAUCAACGUGAAAAUAUGAUGCAAAAUGUACGUAUCAAAUACUUCUCAUGUGCUUCAUCACCCUUUCCUCUUCAAGGGAAAAACCGACGCAAGCAAAUCUCCGUCAACGUGUCAAUUUUUGGCGCUCUUGUUUGAGAAGUAGCAUCGACUUAAAUACCUCUUUCAGAAAUUUUAUGUCCUAAGACGAUGCCUUCAUUAACCAUAAAGUGGCACUUCUCCCAAUUCAAGACAAGGUUGGUAUCUUUACAUCUCUGCAAAACUCGAUCAAGGUUGCUAAGGCAAUCAUCAAAAGAAGACCCGUAAACGGAGAAGUCAUCCAUGAAAACCUCAACAAUCUUUUCACAAAAGUCAGAGAAUAUAGCCAUCAUAUAUCUUUGAAAGGUAGCAGGUGCAUUACAUAAGCCAAAAGGCAUACGUCUGUAGGCAAAUGUACCGAAAGGGCAGGUAAAAGUGGUUUUCUCCUGAUUAGAUUGUGCAACAGGUAUUUGGGAGAAACCAGAAUAACCAUCUAGAAAGUAGAAGUGUGUGUGUUUAGACAAUCUUUCUAGUAUUUGGUCAAUAAAAGGCAAAGGGUAAUGAUCUUUCCUAGUGGCUUUAUUCAAUUUCCUAAAAUCAAUUACCAUCCUAUAGCCAGUAAUAAUUCUCUAUGGGAUCAAUUCAUCUUUAUCAUUAGGGACAAUGGUAAUACCUCCCUUCUUAGGGACGCAAUGCACCAGACUUACCCAAUCACUAUGAGCAACAUGAUAGAUAAUACCUGCUUCUAGGAGCUUUAGUAUUUCUUUUCUUACUACCUCUUUCAUCUUAGGAUUUAAUCUCCGUUGAUGAUCGGCAACUGGUUUGGAAUCAGGAUCGGUUUUAAUUUUAUGCUCGCAUAGAGUGAGACUAAUGCCCUUAAGAUCAUCAAGAGUAUAUCCAAUAGCAGCACGGUUCUUCCUCAGAGUUUUCAAUAAUUUCUUUUCUUCAUGCUCUGAAAGUCUAGCACUAAUAAUAACAGGAUAUAUCUAUUUUUCAUCAAGAUAAGCAUACAUAAGAGUAUCAGGUAACUAUUUAAGCUCAAACAUAGGAUCACCCUUUGGUGGGGGUGGAUCUCCAAGCAGUUCAACAUGCAAAUUAUUCUUAAGGAUAGGAUGUUGUUCAAAGAUAACUCUAUCUAUCUCAUUCCUUUCAUCCAUAUGCAUAUCAUUUUCAUGCUCAAGCAAGUAUUGCUCUAAAGGAUCAGUAGGAGGCACAUCAAUAGAAGCUAGGGCAAUACUUUCAUCCUUACUAGACAAUUCUUUUUCAUGAGGUUGUCUACCAAACUUGGAGAAAUUGAAUUCAUGUGACACACCUUCAAAGCCAACAGUGACAGUUUGCUUCUCACAGUCAAUAUGAGCAUUGACAGUAUUGAGGAAAGGUCUGCCAAAUAUGAUGGGACAAAAGCUAUCUUGUGUGGUAGCAAGAACGAGAAAAUCAGCAGGAUACUUAGUUUUACCACACAAGACUUCAACAUCUCUAACAAUUCCCAAAGGGAAGAUAAUAUCUCUAUUGGCAAGCUGAAUAGUAACAUCAAUAGGUUCCAUCUCGACAGGUGCAAUCUCGUCUUUAAUUUCAUCAUAUAAAGAUCGAGGUAUUGCACUAACACUAGCACCCACGUCACAUAAACCAUGAUAACAAUGACCUCCUAUCUUAACAGAGACAAUAGGCAUGCCAACAACAGGCCCAUGUUUGUCUCUAGCAUGGGGUUUAGCAAUUCUAGCAGCAUCUUCACAGAAGUGAAUAUCAUGGCCAUCAACAUUGUCGAACAUGAGAUCUUUGAUAAUAGCAAUGCUAGGUUCAACUCUAAUUUGCUCAGGGGGUGUAGGUGUUCUAAUGUAGCCCUUACGUAUCACAGUUGGAGCUUUAGCAUGAUCCUUUAUUCUAACACAGAAGGGUGGUUUCUCAAUGUAAGCACUAGGAACAAUAGGAUCAUUGUAAGCAAUGACUUUCUCUUCAACUGGAUUGGGUUUAACUACAUUGACUUCUAUGGGAGGAUGAUAUUUAAACAACUUCUCUUUAGGGAGAUUAAUAUGAGCAGCAAAUGAUUCACAUAAUGAAGCUACUAUCUCAGAGUCAAGUCCAUGUUUAGCGCUAAAAUCACAAAAAGUAUUUGUUUCAACGAAGGAUUUAACGCAAUCGAACUUAAGAUUCAUACAUGACUCCUUACCUUCAUCAAACUCCCAAUCUUCAGAGUUGUGUUUAAUUCUUUCCAAUAAAUUCCAUUUGAAGUCAAUAUCUCUCUUCAUAAAAUAACCAGUACAAGAAGUGUCAAGCAUGGUGCGAUUAUCAUGAGAAAGCCGAGCAUAAAAGUUCUGAAUAAUAAUUUCUCUCGAAAGAUCAUGGUUGGGGCAUGAAUAUAACAUUGAUUUAAGCCUCCCCCAAGCUUGAGCGAUACUUUCUCUAUCACGAGUCCAAAAAUUAUAGAUACAAUUCCGAUCACGAUGUACCAAAUGCAUAGGAUAAAACUGUUGAUGAAAUUCUAAUUUCAGUCGGUUGUAGUUCCAUGAUCCAGUAUCAUCACAUAACCUAUACCAUGUCAAUGCUUUAUCCCUCAAAGAUAACGGAAAGACCUUCUUCUUGACCUCAUCCUCGGGCAAACCUGCAAGUAUAAAUAAACCACAAACUUCAUCUACAUAGAUUAGAUGCAAGUCACGAUGUGAUGUUCCAUCUCAUGUAAAGGGAUUACCCAACAGUUUCUCUAGCAUACCCGAAGGAAUUUCAUAACAAAUAUUUUCAGUAGGUGCAGUAGGUUGAGGAGCAACUCCUUGUGCUUCCGUUCGUGGUGAAGAUACCCCAAACAAGCUCCUCAAAGGAUUAGUUUCCAUAGUGACAAUAAAUUUUAGCACACUAUAUAAAUGUUUCCUUACCAAAUUCCACUUACCAAAGGCACUUCACUCCCUGGCAACGACGCCAGAAAAGAGUCUUGAUGACCCACACGUGUAGGGGAUCUAUUGUAGCCCUUUCGAUAAGUAAGAGUGUCGAACCCAACGAGGAGCAGAAGGAACUGACAAGUGGUUUUCACCAAGGUAUUCUGUGGACGCACUGAAAUUAUCGGUAACAGAUAGUUGUGUGAUAAGAUAAUUCGUAGCGAGUAGCAAGUAACAAUAGUAACAAAGGUGCAGAAAGAUGGCCCAAUCCCUUUUGUAGCAAGGGAAAAGCCUGGACAAACUCUUAUAUGAGGUGAAGCGCUCCCGAGGACACAUGUGAAUUUCUGUCAAUCUAGUUUUCAUCAUGUUCAUAUGAUUCGCGUUCGCUACUUUGAUAUUUUGAUAUGUGGGUGGACCGGUGCUUGGGUGCUUCCCUUACUUGGACAAACAUCCCACUUAUGAUUAACCCCUCUCGCAAGCAUCCGCAACUACGAAAGAAGAAUUAAGACUAAGCCUAACCAUAUCAUUAAACUAGUGGAUCCAAAUCAGCCCCUUACGAAGCAACGCAUAAACUAGGGUUUAAGCUUCUGUCACUCUAGCAACCCAUCAUCUACUUAUUACUUCCUAAUGCCUUCCUCUAGGCCCAAAUAAUGGUGAAGUGUCAUGUAGUCGACGUUCACAUAACAUCACUAGAGGAAAGACAACAUACAUCGCAUCAAAAUAUCGAACGAAUACCAAAUUCACAUGACUACUUAUAACAAGACUUAUCCCAUGUCCUCAGGAACAAAAGUGACUACUCACAAACCAUAAUUAUGUUCAUGGCCAGAGAGGUAUUGAAUAGCAUUAAGGAUCUGAACAUAUGAUCCUUCACCGAGUAAUCCAACUAGCAUCAACUACAAAGAGUAAUUAACACUACUAGCAACCUUACAAGUACCAAUCGGAGUCGCGAGACGGAGAUUGGUUACAAGAGAUGAACUGGGGUUUGGAGAUGAGAUGGUGCUGAUGAAGAUGUUGAUGGAGAUGAGCCCCCUCCGAUGAGAGGAGUGUUGGUGAUGACGAUGGCGACGAUUUCCCCCUCCGGGAGGGAAGUUUCCCCGGCAGGACGGCCCUGCCGGAGCUCUAGAUUGGUUCUGCUCAAGUUCCGCCUCGUGGCGCGGCGUCUCUUCCCGAAAGCCUCCUCCUGAUUUUUUCUGGGACGAAACCCUCCUUACAACAAAAGAUGGGAGCCGGAGGGGCAGCAGGGGGCCCACAAGCCACCCAGGCGCGGCGAGGGGGUAGGCCGCGCCUGGCAGGCUUGUGGCCUCCUGGUGGCUCCUCUCCGGUACUUCUUCCGCCCAGUAUUUUUUUAUAAAAUCCAAAAUAAUUCCUCGUUGAUUUUCACGGCUUUUGGAGUUGCGCAGAAUAGGUAUCUCAAACUUGCUCCCUUUUCAGACCAGAAUUCCAACUGCCGGCAUUCUCCCUCUUCAUGUAAACCUUAUAAAAUAAGAGAGAAAAGACAUAAGUAUUCUACCGUAAUGUGUAAUAACAGUCCAUAAAGCGAUAAAUAUCAACAUAAAGGCAUGAUGCAAAAUGGACGUAUCAGUGGGCUGUCCCUUCUUACUUAUAUAUAGACGCAGAGGAUGUCCAAGGCUUGGAGGACAACCUUAUAGCUGCCCCUAUGCCUUGCCUGCGAGGCUAUAGUGGGUGAGCCCACUAUAUGGGGCCCAUUUAGCCCAUGAGGCUACUCCCACUUCUGCUAGCCAAGGGUAUCAACCCGUAGGGUCUUUUAGAUCUUUUCGGGAGAUUUUGGAGUAUUUCAAAAUCUUCCCAAACUUUUUGGUGUCUUUUAGGUUCUUUGGGACCUUCUUGGUUAUCCAAUAUAUUUUCCAAAAGCUAACGCCCACACAUGUGGGCGUUUGCAAUUUGCCCACACGUCUUCAUUAUUAUUUAUUUUGCCACGUCAAAACAGAUAACAUCAACGGAAAUCUUUUUUGGGUUUUGUCUUAAAAAUGUUUUAUCUUUUAAUUAAAAAAUCCAAUUAAAAAUCCGUUUUCACCAUUAAAACCAUCUCGACGAGAUCUUCAAAACUAGAUCUUAUGUUGAUAUGUUCCGAAAAAAUUGUUUUUUGAGCAAGAGUUGCCAAGAUGUUACACCGUAGUUGUCAUAGUGUUUACAUUAAAGUGUCCAUGUCAUGUUCUAUUCAUUUUUUCUUCUAUAUUUAGAGCCACAUGUAUAUUUUUCAACUACUUUUUAUGACAAUUUUAUUAAUUGACCAUGAAAUUUUUAGUAAUUGACCACGAAAAAAUUAAUGCAUUGAUCAUGGCAAUUCUUUACUAAUCCAUCAAAAUUUACUUUUAAAGGUAAAAAAAUAUCCGAAACAUAUCAUGGCAACUUCAGUGUAAACACCAUGGUAAUUCAUGUGCAAUAGACAUAGCAACUUUUAAUUCAAAAAAGUCGUCGAAAUAUAUUGAGUUUCGAAGAUCUCGUCGU
rnacentral:lncRNA from 1 species